rnacentral:lncRNA from 1 species
UUUUUUUUUGGUUGGGUGUGACCAUGGUCCCUGCCCAGUUCCGGGCCACAGGAAGGCUCCUCCGCCUGCAGGAUGGAUGAGACAUCCAAAUUUUGUAUCCUAGCUAAAGUGCACCACAAAUAUUAAUAUUAAUAUUCUCGUAUAUAUGCCUAUUACAAACUUGUUUCUUGUUAACGCCAAACAUGAAUUGAAGGCAGUUUACAAUUAAUUUGCAAAAAGAUAAAAGAGGACUGUGGGCAGAGCAUCAUCAGUUGUAGACGCAGCUGCCGUCGUCGCUUCUGGCUGUUGGGUCGAAGUUGCCGGCCUUUGGGUCGGUGCACCCCUCGGGCACGGGCACGCCCACCUGCUGCGCCGCCUUGCCGUAGUACAAGUUGCCGGCGGUGAUGGCUUCGUCGUGGUUGGCGUCGCCGAGCGCCGCCUCGCUGAGGUACUUGUCGGCCAGCUGCACGCGCUUGACGUUCUCCUGCUCCGCCACCAGCAUGUGGCCGUACUCGAGCAGCUUCUCCAGCGUCAUCUUGGGCUGCUGGAACGUCGGCGGGCCCUCCCUGGAGUUGACGAGCUUCCGGCCGAUGUUCUCGAUGCCGGUCUCGGCGACCCACCGGCGCACCUCGUCGUCGUACACCCGGGCUCGCAGCGCGCCGAAGAAGUCGAUGGACUGCCCCGGGAAGGUGUCGACGAGCUUCACGACGGCCUCGUCGGGGACGCCGUCGGUGCGGAAGAUGCCCUUGCAGACUCCUAUCCUAUCCUCGCGGGUGGGCGCCCAGUAGAACUUGUCCAUGCGGCCGUCGCGGAUGAGCGGCGCGUACAGCGUGGAGAAGUCGUUGCCGGUGACGACGAUGGGGACACGGGGGUUCUCCUCCUUGUUGUACAUGCCGGGGAGCUGCACGUUGGUGGGGUUGUCGGCGAUGUUCAUCAGGGUGGCGUUCACCAUCUGGUUGUUCACCGUGUACUGCGUGGUGCCGCCCAUGCGCCCGGCGCCGGCGUCGAGGUCGUUGAUGAAGAGCACGCACAUCCUGCCCUUGCUGAUGAUGUCGGCGGCCUCGCGGUAGCGCUGGCGGAUGAGCUUGGCGGGCUCGCCGGCGUUGCCGCUCUCCAGCUCGCCGGCGCUCAUCAUGACGGGGUUGAUGCCCAUCUUGGCGAAGACGAGCUCGCACUGGAAGGACUUGCCCUGGCCCUUGCCGCCCCAGAUGCCCAGGAUGAGGGGCACCUUGAUGUUGGGCAGGGACAUGAAGUUCUUGGCGAUGUGGACCACCAGCUUGUCCAUGAACGCCGGAGCGAUGUAGUAGCCGUCCAUCAUGUUGUCCAGGUUGUACUGACGGAGACCCUGGCUGAGGUACUCGUAGGAGCUGAGCACGGCCUCGUGGGUGCCGUCGCCCAUGGGCGCCUGGAACAGGGAGUCCACCAGGCCCUUGCCGCGAGUGAUGUCCUGCUGGUCGUCGGAGAUGUCGUGGGCGAGGCCCCUCCACCUGUCGCUCUCGGUCUGCUUGGUCUCGUCCACGGCCUCCUUCUUACUAUUGCUGGCCGACGCCGCCAUCGCCAUGACGACGACUCUGCUUCGACGGUGCUGCUUCCUGGUGGUGAUGAGCUUCUUCUUCUUCUUCCCAACGCCGAGGAAGCUGCUCGGCGUCGAGGCCAAAUUUAAAGCAGCAGCAGCAGCCAUCUCGAUCGAUCGAUCUCAAGAUUAUUGGACGUACAAAUUGAAUGGGAUUGAAGAUGAUGACGAUGAGUUGUAGUAUAUAUAGCAGGGUAAAGAUAUGCAGCUGCUAAAUUGAUGAGCAGGCAGUAGCUAGUGUGGUCUGGAUCCUUCCCGAUUGCUCACUGGAUCUCCAGAACGUUAACGAACAAGUGUGCAGUGGUGGCCUGGUGGGUACGUGAGGCUGAUGAGUGGCCAACAUGUUAGUACGUCCAUCCAAACACUGCUAUCCCAGCCUGACAUGCGUACGCUGUCGAUCGGAUGGGCCGCGUGGGCCCCCACCCUGGAUUUAGCAUUUGAGUACCGCUCUAUCCAUCCAUCCUGUUUUAGCACAGCUUUUUUUAAGUGUUUAUAAUAAUUCUUACUAUAUAUCUUGUAUGUCUAAGAAAAAAAAUCAAAACAAACUACAGUUUAAAAUGGAGGGAAUAUUUAGCAAAAAAAAAUAGGCCAUGUUUGGACCGCAUAUACCGGCUCCAGGGAUCGCCAAAAUGAUUGAGCAAGAACCGAGGGUUUACUGAACCCUUGCAUUAACCCUCAAUCUAUGAGCUUAGUGCGCUAAGGUCGUUGGGUUGGGGAAAAAACUCAUCUUUAGUCGUACUUGCAUUGGAUGGUUCUUAGCGAUUUCAAGAUUAGCCGCUAGACGAUCGCAUAACCUUUGAUCUAACGGAUGACCACCGGGAGCCUUGUUUCUACUCUUUUGUCACGUUUUAGAUACUUGAGUCUCGAGGCUUUUGUCAAGAGAGAACGAAUUGAAGGAUCCAUACAGCUUUUACAAAGCAUGAGAAUCGAAAUUGGUGAUCAUCUCCACGGAAGGGGAGAAGACGACAGGGUAUGCAUGGCGAGCUCAGCAGCUGGCUGCAACGAGCUCUCUGCCGCAGCACGCAGCAGCUGGCGUGCUCCUCGAUCUAGAUAGAUUGUAACGUUUUCGUCAGCGCCCCUCGAUGCCGCCCUGGCUCUCCAUCGGAGUUCCUUUCUCCACUUCCGGUCACAUCAAUCUCCAUCGGCGGCUGUGGCUCACGGCUUCGCCGGAGGUGCCGGAGAGUCCAUUUGUCCAGGCCUCGCCGGCGUGGAGCGAGCGAGCGACCGACGACCUGGGGACGUCGGCGUUCACCCGGAACGCCGCGUGGGAGAGGAGAGGCGACAAAGAAAAAAAAAAAAGGGAAGCGUCAAGAGUACUGGUCGUUUUCUCCCUCUAUCUGAGGAGUGUUGAAAAGAAUUAUUGGAAUGGAACAAACCAAAAAAUAUUGAAAAAAAGAAGAUGCAUUUCCAAUACUAGUCGUUUUUUUGGGAAAGAGAGACCUUUUUUUUGAGGGGGGAAAAGAGAGACUGAUGCUCUGAGGAAUUGAGGAAACACAGGUACCAAAAAAAGAAGAGGGAGAAAACACAAGCCGGGCCUUAACGGGCGGCCAGGCUAUGGCCCGCUAAGGCACGGCCCGUUAAGGCCCGCUCGGGGUCCCCAUCCCACCACGCGCCCCUCCCAAGCCCAUGGGUCGUGGCUGGACUUAUGGGGGGAUCAUUCAUGGGGCAGCAGCUUCUCAUUUCUAGGACUCUGUUUCUGAUAUUGUUCCCGCUGCAUCUGCUCAUCCCCAUGGUGAAUGUUGCUGUUGAUCUGUAGAUUGGAUUUGUUGGUCGGUAGUUUGAUUAGAUUUGUGCUGAAUCAUAAUCUCUGCCUGUGAUAUUUUUCUUCAUUGCGGAUGUGUGCCGAGUAUUAUCCCCUUUGUUCAUUCUGUUGGCUUGCUUUCAUUGAUCUUAAGAUAACUGGUGUCAUAAAUUCACACUAGCUGAUGCACUUGCAGAUAGCUAUGUAAAUAUGAAAAAGAAGUAUUUUUUUUUAUCCUUUUGUUUUUUUUGCAUCAUAUCUGUUUAAAGGUACAGCAUUAGGAUUUUUUUUUGUUUCUGGGGAAUCAUAUCUGCUUAAAUGGUAUAGAAAAUGCUGAGCGUACUGUCAAAUAGAUUUUCCAGCAGUCUGCUUUCAGUUGUUUGCCGCGCAUUCACUGGGGAAGCACGCGCCAGGCAUCACCAGGCUCCUCGUGCCCCUGCUCUGCUCCAAGGACUCGGUGCUUCGACGCGCUGCUUUCCCUGUCAUUGUUAUGUUGAUAUUGGUUUACACGUGUCAUUCACCCCAAAUGGUGUUGCAAGGUUGAACCUAUUGUGGGAGGCUUUUGGUUUCCCUUGACCAAGUAUCACUAGUGAUAUCACUGCGUUCUGGUUAUGUAUGAAACACUUGUCUUUUUAAAACCUUUCUGAAUUUAGAAACGAAUUUGAAACCUUGGUUAUUCAUCAUGGGUUCACAGAUUUGUUUUUCUUUAAAAGAAUUGGGAAGUAGCUUUCUUUCUGGGUAUAUGUGGGGAAAUGCAUAUGCAAUCUUUUAUUUAUUGAGGUGACUGUAAAAUUCUUGUCUGACUGAAUAUGCGAUUUCAACCUACAUGCUAUACUUAGGGAAAUUUGUGAAUCUCCUAAUGUGGCUUAUAUGUGUGGAGUCACUUAACCUAUGCACUUGGACCUCCACGUUUUAUGAACCUAAUUUGACAGCCUGCUCGUCUUUUAUUUUCUACCAAUCAGCUAGGAACGAACAUGGUGAUGUUUGCAUCUCUGCCAUCAAUGGCUUACAUGUCAUUAUGUAUCACAUUAGCAAGUCUUGUUUUGUUAUUGGGCGGGAUGACGGGGACACUGGCUGGAAUUAAAUCAAAGUGGUAGAUCACAGGGUAUUCAUUGCCAUGUAUUUCUGCAGUUGCAUGGACUUGCAUCAAACGGACCUCCCUACUUAUGUGAUUGUCCUAUAUGAUCUCCUUUGAUUUCAUUUGCAUAGAGCUAUGUACACUGUAAUCACAUUAGCUAGAACACUCGCUUUUUGCUUCAAAUUUGAAAUUCAUACCAUGAUGGACUUGAACGCUGAAUUUCUUGAUUGCUGAGUUAGUAAUCACAUUGUGGCGCUGCCACAGAAGCUGGACUCUUCAUUGUUGUUGCCUUGUGGGCUGCCGUGUGCAAAGAACAAGAGCGCACGGUAUUAUAAUAGCAGAGCAGAACACAGACAAGCGACAAGGAGCGGAGCAGAGCAGAGCACAGCCAAGCACAAGCAGUAGAGUAGAGCAGAGCAACCGGGAGAGGAGAGGGCACAUAUGCAGAGUAGAGCAGAGCCAAGCGCAAGCAUUCAUGCACUCAAGCAUGCAGCAGAGGUGUAGCAAGGCAAGCACAAGCAGCAGAGCAGAGGGAAGGGAAGGCUGGGAGAUGAAUAGGCGAAUAGUUAGUUACCUGGACAGAGCAGAGGGAAUGGAGAUGAUGCAGAUGCUUCCGGAGACUGGAGAUUUGGAGAGGAACAAGGCCACGUUGUGAACAAGGUCUCCUUUCUCUUCUCUAUUUCCCGUGCAAUACUCGUGCAUAGUGGCUGCCUCAUCCUCCAGGACGCCCACUUCAACCUGAGGCGGGUGCCACAGAUAUCCUGGCUAGGCGACGGCUAUCCCCAGCACGCCCCAGCGCCUUACGAACUAUGAUCCUAAUACUAUAAAUUGUCACGUACUCACCUUGUAAUCUUGUUUCAAGCAUGCUCUAUAUGUCAACCUGUAAGGUUAACUUCGUUUUUCCUUUUCUGGGUAGGGAAGUGGAUAUUGCUGUUAUUUAUGUUAUGUUGAUAUUGGUUUCCACAUGUCAUUCAUCCCAAAUGUGUUGCAAGGUUGAACCUAUCAUCGGAGGAAUUUUUUUCCCUUGACCUUUAUAUCACUACGCUCUGGUUAUGUAUGAAACGCUUGUCUUCUUAAAAACCUUAAUUUAGAAACGAAUUUGAAAUAUUAUCUUCGUUUACAUCCUGUAUAUGUGUUCUCUACCUUUUGUCCUAUAUUACCUUUUGUCCUAUAUGAUCUGCUUUGAUUUCAUUUGUGCAUAGUUUUUUCAAUUCAGACCUGGUGAUUUCUGAGGUUGAUGUGUCACACCCGAUUUUAAGAGUGCAUUAAAUACAUGUGCGCCAGGAUCAAGUUACACACAUGUACGACAUAAGCAAAUAUCAAAGACAGUGCCAUAACGAAAUAAAGAGAGUAUUAAUCAUUAUUACAUGAUCGAAAGUCUCAAAUAAACCACAAAGUCUAUUUAUUAUGCAGCGGAACUCCUAAGAUAGCAACGUCUCCAUAGGCAGCUGACUGAAGAACUGUACGCCUAGAACUUCUCAAAAUUGUGCAGGUACUCCUCCAAAUUAGCUUGGUCUGAAUAGCGGUUUUGCAAGGGUGAGUACAUUUAUGGUUGAUACUCAACAAGUCGUGGGAAACAGUGUAGUGUAAAGCAAAUCAAGGUAUGGCUAAGGCUUAAACAGCAUCAGCUUUUAAUUUAGUUGGUCAAAUUUUAUUAGCAAUUAACUAGAUGUAAGUUUAUACCACCCAAAAUUAAACAAGAACAUGAAUAAAAUAAUAACAUAACCAUAAAUGAAAUGACAAUAAUUUAAAUCCAUCUUUCGAUAGCAUUAUCAUGUGAGCAAUUUUUUCCCCUUGACCUUUAUAUCACUACACUCUGGUUAUGUAUGAAACACUUGUCUUCUUAAAAAUCUUAAUUUAGAAACGAAUUUGAAGCAUUAUCUUCAUUUACAUCCUGUAUAUGUGUUUUCUACCUUUUGUCCUAUAUGAUCUGCUUUGAUUUAAUUUGUGCAUAGUUUUUUCAAUUCAGACCAAUUUCUGAGGUUCAUGUUGUGCUGAUAAGCAGCCUACUAUUCAAUAACACUUUCAUGUGGCAUGUUCAUGUUAGCUAGCUAGAAACACUGUGCUUUUAGCUUCAAAAUUCAAAUUCAUGAUAUUAUGGACAUUGACAAUGAAUUUCUUGAUUGCUAAGCUAUGUACACUGUAAUCAAAUUGUGGGGCUGAUAAAAUAAGUAGCGUUGAGACACAUAACAAUUGAAUCUUAAGCUUCACACAGAAUCUGGACUAGUCAUCCUCAUUCUUGUCAUGCUGGAAAUGUCUUUGAUACAUUUCAAUCACAGGCAAUUGAAUUCGUACUGGGGAGGAUGGCAAUGGUGCGUGAAGAGAGAUCAAUGUGGCAAAUCUCACACUGUUCAUUACCAGGUAUCUCUGAUUUCUGGUUAUUUUAAAUUUACCUUGACAUGUGACUUAUUGAGGUAGUGUAUUUCAUCUAAUGGUAGUUCUGAAUUUAUGGUAACCUUGGAUGGGGUUUGUCACUUUAUCCACGCACGGACUUACAAAGGACAGCAAAUGACUAUUUUUACAGGGCUCCUGUCUAACCAUGGACUAUACUUUAUGUACCCUUUUUUGACAUGGUAAUUUGAGGUUAAUGGAAAAGUAGCAUAUUUUCCCUGUAGUUACCUUGGGUUUACUUUCGCAUUGUUUUUUUACAGAGUUUGCAACCAGUGUUUCAUUAUCAGAUGAACGCAAGCAGAGGGUAUCACUCGUGGAGAGCCUUGGCGUUGCAGAGCAGUCCCACUCCAACUUGUAGAUAGUAUAUAUUCCCUCUGUUCUAAAAUGUAAGGUAUUUUGAUUUUUUUAGAUAUAUAGAUUCUACUAUGCUAACCUGAUAACCCCAUAAUCCAUCCUGAGGAAAAACCAGGCUAAGAAUAAGUGCUUUCAUGACAUUUAAAUGUCCUGGAAAGUCUUGUUUUGUUUAUAUGCUUAAGCAAAGUAGCUCUGGAGGGCAUGAAAGAAAAGCAUCGUGUUGAUGAGUAUUGCUGGAUGUUUAACUAUUAGUAUGGUAUAUUUAACUGAACAAGGCCUAGGACAGCACAAGGAUGGCCUUUAGGACAGCAUUGCUUUCUCGGCCUAAUUGGCGCCUUACAUUUGGCGACCAUACACGGCCCGUUAAGGAAAUUUAUGCCCAAGUUUGCCGAAGCAUUUAAGGCACAAAUGUUUUUGACUUCUGAUGGCCUGUUUUUGACCUCCCAUGGCCCAGUAGCGACCCUAGUUUUUAUCAGCAAUGACCAAAUGUUAGCCCAGUUUUGCCCCAUCUUAGGGUCUAAUCAUGGACCAAUAAAACAUGUGCUAGACUUCAUGGCCACCGGAUGCGUGUUCGGCCACGUAAUCGUGUGCUAUAGCUCACGGGAGGCUGAAAAUGGCCUGAAGGGGCACAGUGGAUGAAAACGUUAGGGACGCUCGGAACACAAGAAAAUGACCACCAGAUACGUGUUUGGCCAUUGUAACUGUGCGCUAUAGUUGAUAGGUCGAAAGCGGCUUGAAGAGGCAUCAGUGAUGGAAACAUGGGGGAUGGUCGGAACACUUGAAAAUGGCACUGGAUAAGUGUGCUUAUUCCUUGCGGGAUGCUGAAAAUGGCUUGGAAGGGUCAUCUAGGAUGGAAACUAGGUGGACAAUAAGUGAAAAUGGGCAGCGGACACGUGUUCGGUCAUGUAACCGUGUGCUAUAGUCCACUAGAGGUCGGAAAACUGCCCUAGGGACUCUAGAGAUGAAAAUGUGAGGAACAGCUGAAAGGUUACGUGUUUGGCCAUGACAGCCCUAUUAGGAAGCGAUAGAAGUGGAAAGAUAGCUGGUUUCAUAUUGGCAUCCCAUCUCUGAACUUUUGCUUCCCCCUUCCCUCCGUAAUCCCGGGGCAUCGAAUUAAAAAGUAUACAAAUCACUUUCAGAUGUAAUUGAGGGUAAAGAGGGGAGGUUUCACGAGACUCUACAAUGUUCAAAUCAUUCGUUCGUUAGGAUGCCUCAGCUUCAUACAUUGUUGCACUUCCACUUGACACCUAUUUAAAUGGUUCGUCUCGCUGCUACAAGGUAUCAUCAGAUAUAGAAGAAUCAGAGACCGGGGGUAAUAGCAAAAAAGGAAUAUAACUCGUCUGAGGAAGUGGGCGCAGGGGCAGUGGGGUAAGGUAAUUGAAGUAACUAGCCAGUUUCUUCCCGAAACUUUCCAAGAAAAAUUCCGAAUUGGAUCCAAAAUUGACGGAUUAAUCAACCAAAAUAACCGUGAGCAGCCACAAUGUUAUAAAUGUUAUAAGUCCCUUCUUCUUGACCAAAUUUGUAACUCUUAUUAGCAGACUCAUUUUUAGUGGUUUCCCUGAUCAAACUAGAGGUUACCAAGGAACCGUGUGCUAUAGCCCACAGAUGCCUGGAAACAGCUAGGAAGGGCUUCGGGGAUGGAAACAACGUGGACGGUCGGAACACGUGAGAAUGACCACGGGAUACAUGUUUGGCCCUGUAACAGUGUGCUAUAGGAAGCCGGAAAUGGCUAGGAGGGUCACCAGGGAUGAAGAUGCAGGGAUGGAUGGAACAUGUGAAAAUGACCACUAGUGGUUAGUGGCAGGUCUAGAGAGAUAUCUCAUCAAAUUGGUGAGUUAUAUCCGGUUUAAACGAGGAUAAAAAUGGGUGUAUUUUCCACUCAUCAUAUUGUCUUUUCGUAGCUGUACCGCCUUUCGUGUGUUGUAUUGUUCCCCAAACACUAAGUCUCCGAGGCUUGAGAAAAUAAGGAAAGUGAUAGCAGCCCAAAAAUUGACCAAGUUUCUUUCCCCCUCUGGCUUUCUACUAGGAUUCAGAAUCCUCUUUUCCAUGACAAUCUUAAUUAUCUCCCAUACUCCAAAACUCACAAAAACAUCAAGAGUCCGCUGAGAAUAAAUUUAAGUAAAAAACAUGCACACAUAGAUCCACAUCCAAUGGCAAGGAAAGGGGCGUCAGACAAAGCCCAAUGGCAACUGCUGACAUGCGAUUAAAUUCAGAUCCACAUCCGGCCAUUCAAUAAUACGGUUGGAGUUGUGGCACAGAUAUAUUAUUGCAUGAUCAUCAAGAUAAGAUCGUACAGUGACUGAGUGAGACAAUAAAUAGCCAAGUAAACUAUUUUAUCCUGCUGCAAGCUGCAUUCAUAAGUUUAUUUCACCUUUGAUCACAAUACUCUUCACACACGUACGUCUCAGGGAGAUCUCACUUCCGCUGGACUGCUCACUUCCGCUGUCGUCGGUACUGCCAAAGACAUAAGCUCACAUCUGCUAUUGCGGAGCAGGCCAAUUUGCUGCGGAACUUCGGCGACGACCUGAAGGACAUGAACUCGGUGCUGGAGUCCAUCUCAGCAGCGCUCUAGGACGCUGACACCGGUAGAAAAACGACCUUCCAUCGUCAACAAAAAUCCCGGUAGCUUUUUUACUCGGUACUAAAGAGGUUUUAAUCUCGUGCAAACACCUUUAGUCCAGAUUGCUAUUACCACGCAACCCGGACUAAAGCGUCCCCCGCGAGUUAGUAUAUAAGGAUUGCAUCCUUUACUCAGUCAGAUAUAAUAUGUAGGUGAGAUGGUAAGGAAGCUAUGCGUGAGGCUUCAGGUUGUGGGUUCGAAUCCAAGUGGGUGCAGCUGUGGCUUAAGCGGCUGAGGCACGCCGCCAUAGACAUCUCAGAUUUGCUCGAAGACUACCAAGACACUAGUGAACCCUUAACAGUAAAGGUGAGUACUUAUGAAUGUCAGCAUCCAUGUUGUCCAUGCUUCCAAUGUAAUAACAAGAUGGACUACUCUUCCUAGCGGACUCUUCACAACCACUCGUAAAGCUAUGCGUUUCUCAAUGCAAUUUCGUAGAAGCCAAUCGAUCCAACCAAGUGACUAAAUCAUUCGUCCUUUCCAAUGAUGUGCAUCAGGUUUUCUAUAUGAAGGGCAUGUCUAGCAAACCUAAGAUUUCAGAAGAAAAAGAAAAAUCAUUGGAGCCAAAGAGCCACAUAGUUCUUCUAGGAAAAAAAUCAUGGGAGUCGAGAACAUAUCAAACCAAUCAGGGGAUUAUGGUCAGCUUAAUGGCAUGCCUCCAUUCGAUGUCGAAGUUCACCCAAGCAUCAUGUUAGCCAAACAUCAAAUGUUCGUGCGUUGUUACGGUAAAGAUCAAUUGUGUUUUUUAAACUCUUGGAAUUUUUUUAUCUAAGUUUUUAUUUACACUUAUUGGAUGUCUACACAUUUGCUAGAAAACUAAAAUAAUUUGGACUUAAUUAUUUCUUUCAACUGAAGUACUCACUAAAUUUCUACCUUUUUAUUUAAGCAAGAGAGUUGCUAAAAAAAAUGGAUACGUAACCAUGUUGUAUCAUACAAAGUAACCACGUUUCACAUAUAGUCCGGCUUAGCAAACACCAUUGUUUUCUGAACAUAGCGUACAUGAGUUAACAGACAUGGAUUUAUUUCUAUUGCAAGUAGCAUAGCGUACAACCUGCCUGCACCGAUGCAGCUCAAUAUGCGAUAAUUUUUAUCUUCCCAUGUAAUUUUUCUACUCUAGUACAUAUUGAACUCCACAUUAAUGUCAUGUUCUUUCGCGCCCCAGAAGGUUCCUAAAGUUUGGAAACUUAAUAGAUAGCCAGAAUUUUUUUUAAAGAUAUUUAUAUGGAUACUUGUAUGUUCUUUCCAAACUAACAAUAUUGUUUACCAAUAUCAGAAGGAAUAUGGUUAGGAGCCAUUGCCGCAUAUGGCAGGUGAUGGUAGAUGGCGUAUGGGGUUUCGUUAAUUUAAUGGUAUAAUAAGCUGAAAUACAUUUUCUAUUUGCAAAUGAAUCAUAGCUGAAAUUGGUGGGAUUGUUUUUUUCGCCGGUUUAGCAUCCUGUGCACCAGUUCAACCGGAGGGAAGCUGUUUUUUUUCUUUGGUUUUCCACCGGUUCACCGAGACCGAUGACAAUUUUAUGGCAGAAUCAUUACUUGUUUUACUAUUAGGUGAAGAUUUUAGCGUUUAGGUAUCUCACAUUAAACGCAACUUCAACAAUCUAUUUCUAGUGUAUAAUGUAGGAGACCCCGUAAAGAGUCUACACACACAUAUAUGUUGACUAUGAAUGUAAGUUUGUUGGUUUUAUGUAUGUUCGUUUGGAGUUUAUGUAAAUUUUACAUUUUAUAGUUUUGUGUAUAUGACGAAGAUCCAUGACUUGCAUUAAUUUAGCCUUUCUUCCAACAACUCUUAUGCAUGCUGUUUCUAGGCGAGCGUACUGGUUGCAAUUUUGGUCCCCGAUAUAGUGUGAGGACUUAAGGGACACGUGCAGGUCGUAACCUUAGAUAUUUUUGCUGAGAAUGGAUGAAGAAGCAAUAAUAUACUUUGCUUCUGAUUUUCUCCAUGUCAUUUGCUUACUCUUAUCCCUUUUAUUUAUCAUUAUAAGAUGAAAAUAUUGUAAAAACUUGGCUACGUGCGGUCGCAGAAGCUAGAGACUAAAGCGUCCCCCACGAGUUACUAUAUAAAAGGAUUGCAUCCUCUACUCAGUCAUAUGUACUGUGUAGGUGAGAUGGUAAGGAAGCUAUGUGUGAGGCUUGAGGUUGUAGGUUCGAAUCCCACGCACCGCGUGCGCAUGCGCAUAUUUUGCGUGAAAAAUCGCAUGACUUGUGGUCGGCCAAGGAGAAGUGCGUGCGGCUGAGGCACGCCGCCAUAGACAUCUCGGAUUUGCUCCAAGACUACCAAGACACUAGCGAACCCUUAACGGCAAAGUUGAGUACUUACGCGUGUUAGCAUCUAUGUUGUCCAUGCUUCCAAUGCAAUAACAAGAAGGGCUACUCAUCCUAGCGGAUUCUUCACAACCACUCGUAAAGCUAUGCGUUUCUCAAUGCAAUUUCGUAGAUGUCAAUCGAUCCAACCAAGCGACUGAAUCAUUCGUCCUUGCUAAUGAUGUGCAUCAGGUUUUCUAUAUGAAGAACAUGUCUAGCAAAUCCAAGAUUUCAGAAGAAAAAUAAAAAUCAUGAGAACCAAAGCACCACGUAGUUCUUCCAGGUAAAAAAAACAAUCAUCCACUGGGAUGACACACAGUAGCGAUCCAAAACGUCCAUAUUAAGACUUUUUGAUAGCAGAAAAAACAUGAAAAUGUCUAAUAUUUGUAGUAUUAAAAGGAAAAAUAAUAUAUUCACUUGACCUUUUUUUCGUAGCAACGCACCGGUGCGUAGUCAGACUUAGGCCACGUUUGGAUACUCCCUACUAAAGUUUAGCACCUGUCACAUAGGAUGUUUGGAUACUAAUUAGGAGUAUUAAACAUAGGCUAAUUAUAAAACUAAUUGAACAGAUGGAGUCUAAUUUGCGAGACGAAUCUAUUAAGCCUAACUAGUCCAUGAUUUGACAAUGUGGUGCUACAGUAACCAUUUGCUAAUGGUGGAUUAAUUAGGCUUAAUAGAUUCGUCUCGCGAAUUAACAUAGGGUUCUGCAAUUAAUUUUAUAAUUAGCUCAUGUCUAGUCCUUCUAAUUAGCAUCCGAACAUCUGAUAUGAUACUGCUAAAGUUUAUCACCUAGUAUCCAAAUACCCCCUUAAUGCACGAUGCCUGUGCAUCCACUGGGCCUACCCUCGUGGAUCACGCGCUCGUGGAUCACGCGCACCAUGACAUGGCUCAUUAGCUAGUCGUGCUAAUCCUUACCACCAAAUUAAAAACUAGCAUGUGUUGUGUGUUUGUGACCCUAAACGACUACCACCUUCCCGAGUCCACCGGAGUUGCCAGUUCACCACUAAGCUGACUCUCCGAGCUUCAUGUCACUGUCACCGCUCCAAAGACCUAGAUCGGUUCGCUGUGCACCCCGCUUCGUCCUGAGCUAAAUCCCAUCACGAAAGGUGACCGGAUGCUCGUUUUCGAGCGAAUUCUAGCGAGAUUGCCACCACCUUUCCCCUUCCAGCCGAUCGCAGCUGUCUGAUCACAAACCGACAGCCCAGAUCGGAUUUGACCAGGUCAAUACCGGUCAAGCCGAGAUGCAUGCUGCUUUUGCAAGAAGGCCCCUAUUUUUCUCUCUUUUUGCACUUGAGGUCCUACGCAGUUCAAAAGUAAUUAGAUCUAGAUCCUUUUUCUUCUGUUUUAGCCCUGUUCUUUUAUAAAAUCCCACCCGCCAUCCUGUUUGGUAUUUUGACAUGUUAGACCUUCUAUUUAUAUGUUUAAUUAGGUUUUAGCCCUUGGUUUCUUUAAGUUUAGCUCUUGGAAGUUUAGUUUUCUCGCAGUUAAGCCCCUGAACCUUGUUUAGUUCAUAUCUUUAGCGUUUUAAAUCCGUUUUAAGAGAUUCUUACGCCCAUAAGUUCGUGUUGAUGCAUAGAUUAGUUGACUUAUACGGACCUUGCUGAUUCAGCUCCUUCAUUGUGCUUCAGAUCUCGCUAGUGAAGAAUAAUGGAUGGGCUUUGGUUGAGCUUGUAGAUCGACCUGCAGUUGCAGUGAAUGUGCUGAGGACUGGCGGUACCAAUAAUGGGAGGCCGCUGCUCUGCUUGCUACCAAGGCCUGCGACGCUUGGACGCCAUUCAGAGUGCAUAAUUUCCAAGGAUCUCAAGGGCUCCACACCACGUUCCAAGUGUUUUUUCUUUGCCGAGUGUUUUUAGCUCGGCACUUGGCAAAGAGCUUGUUUGCCGAGUGUCCGAAAAAAACACUUGGCAAAGAGAAAACACUCGGCAAAUUUGAUGUUUCCCGUAGUGAUGUACUAUUCAAACUUGAACUGGGAUGCAGGCUUCAGUACCAAAGAGAGCUCUGGGCGCGGGUGAGCAGUGAGCUGGCCGGGCAGGGAGCUCCAAAGCGACAGCAACAAAGAGAGAAAUGCUAAGAGUAAGAACGACACACGAGGUCACUUCACAUAGAUAAUAGCAGUACGAACCAUACAAUAUCCUCUCUCAGUUUCACUCCGCCUCACACACGGCUAGCACACCAUGCAUGCCGAUUUCAUAUUAUUAAUAUUAUUUUUUGGAUGGUUGUUGAAACUAUAUAUAUAGUUAGUCCAAUCUCACGUUUCCGAUUAUAAAAAUCAACGUAAAGAGAUCGGUAGGGAGAGCCGGCAUAAUGAAGCCGACGCGUGUAAUAAGCACCAGAGCCGGCAUUUAUACAAACUGGUACGAAUAGUAAAAAACUAGAAUUUAUAAAUAAAAAAAUGAUUUGCACAUCUAUGCAAUAAUUAGGGGUUAGUGGCAGGUCUAGAGAGAUAUCUCAUCAUUAUAUCCGGUUUAACGAGGAUAAAAAAGAGUGUAUUUUCCACUCAUCAUGUUGUCUUUUCGCAGCGGUACCACUUUUCGUGUGUUGUAUCGGUCCCCUAAUACGGAGUCUCCGAGGCCCGAGAAAAUAAGGAAAGUGAUAGUAGCCCAGAAAUCGGCCAAGUUUCUUUCCCCUUUGGCUUUCCUACUAGGAUUCAGAAUCCUCUUUCGCAUGACAAUCUUAAUUAUCUCCCAUACUCCAAAACUCACAAAAACAUCAAGAGUCCGCUGAGAAUAAAUUUAAGUAAAAAACAUGCACACACAGAUAAUAAUAAUAAUCAUGUUUCCAUAAAAUUGCUAAGUCCAGAGAUAAUACAUAAACAUAGUAGACUGUUCAUGACACAUAUCACGGUGGACAGUGUUUGUGUCCUUAUUACAAGCAACGAGAGAUGCUCGUCACCAACACGCGCGCGCACAGAUGCACGACAUACAUAUAGUAGAGACCAACAGAUGGUCGUCCCAUAUGGUGAACAAUUUAUUGGAGAUAAAUAUUAACGUAACUUGGCCAUAGCUUGAAGCAUAGCAACAUAUGCCUAUGAGUGGCAUUCAUGCUAUCGUUUUAGGCUUGUCCAGCUCCUUCCAUCUUAGCAAGCACUUCCAUUUCUACCAUCUUAGCAGCAACUGUCAAAUUGAGAUACGGAAAUCCCAUUAGCGCAUGAGUUAAUUUUGCAGUGGAAAUAGAGUACAAGAUGUCUUCAUGAUGUAAGUAAUAUGCCUGAAGUUGUGAGAUGGGAAGUGAAGUCAACAAAUUACAUUAACGGAAAUGCAUGGAAGGCCACACAUACGUAUUAGUCCAUGAUAUGCUACAAAGCUUGUAUGUACAUAUAGCAAAUUAAAUGCAUUAAUUGAAUAGAGUGUGUUUAGUGAAUUUACCAGAAUCGUCCAGAAAACAUGGGAAACAGCAAGUGUUCUUGCAGACUGCGUCGGAGGCACCCGCACGAAUACAAAGCUGACAACAUAGUUUUGCCUGGGCGGAUGCGCAGCAGCCGCACUCCGCCGCGGUGGGGUUAACAUUGAGGCUCAAGAUGACCAGGCACAUGAUCACCAUCAAAGUGGUAGUCCUCUUUCCCUCCAUUGCCUCCUCUUAGCUUGCUGCUACCUUCCUUGGUUACCUAGCUAAGUUUAUUGGUUUUGUGUUGAGAGGUGUGAUUCUUGAAUGGACGUUGCCGGCGGCAAUUUAUAGGCAGCUGAGCUAUGUGAUGAUAUGGACUAGGUGCAAAUGGGUGGUUAAUGGCAAGGAAAGGGGCGUCAGACAAAGCCCAAUGGCAACUGCUGACAUGCGAUUAAAUUCAGAUCCACAUCCGGCCAUUCAAUAAUACGGUUGGAGUUGUGGCACAGAUAUAUUAUUGCAUGAUCAUCAAGAUAAGAUCGUACAGUGACUGAGUGAGACAAUAAAUAGCCAAGUAAACUAUUUUAUCCUGCUGCAAGCUGCAUUCAUAAGUUUAUUUCACCUUUGAUCACAAUACUCUUCACACACGUACGUCUCAGGGAGAUCUCACUUCCGCUGGACUGCUCACUUCCGCUGUCGUCGGUACUGCCAAAGACAUAAGCUCACAUCUGCUAUUGCGGAGCAGGCCAAUUUGCUGCGGAACUUCGGCGACGACCUGAAGGACAUGAACUCGGUGCUGGAGUCCAUCUCAGCAGCGCUCUAGGACGCUGACACCGGUAGAAAAACGACCUUCCAUCGUCAACAAAAAUCCCGGUAGCUUUUUUACUCGGUACUAAAGAGGUUUUAAUCUCGUGCAAACACCUUUAGUCCAGAUUGCUAUUACCACGCAACCCGGACUAAAGCGUCCCCCGCGAGUUAGUAUAUAAGGAUUGCAUCCUUUACUCAGUCAGAUAUAAUAUGUAGGUGAGAUGGUAAGGAAGCUAUGCGUGAGGCUUCAGGUUGUGGGUUCGAAUCCAAGUGGGUGCAGCUGUGGCUUAAGCGGCUGAGGCACGCCGCCAUAGACAUCUCAGAUUUGCUCGAAGACUACCAAGACACUAGUGAACCCUUAACAGUAAAGGUGAGUACUUAUGAAUGUCAGCAUCCAUGUUGUCCAUGCUUCCAAUGUAAUAACAAGAUGGACUACUCUUCCUAGCGGACUCUUCACAACCACUCGUAAAGCUAUGCGUUUCUCAAUGCAAUUUCGUAGAAGCCAAUCGAUCCAACCAAGUGACUAAAUCAUUCGUCCUUUCCAAUGAUGUGCAUCAGGUUUUCUAUAUGAAGGGCAUGUCUAGCAAACCUAAGAUUUCAGAAGAAAAAGAAAAAUCAUUGGAGCCAAAGAGCCACAUAGUUCUUCUAGGAAAAAAAUCAUGGGAGUCGAGAACAUAUCAAACCAAUCAGGGGAUUAUGGUCAGCUUAAUGGCAUGCCUCCAUUCGAUGUCGAAGUUCACCCAAGCAUCAUGUUAGCCAAACAUCAAAUGUUCGUGCGUUGUUACGGUAAAGAUCAAUUGUGUUUUUUAAACUCUUGGAAUUUUUUUAUCUAAGUUUUUAUUUACACUUAUUGGAUGUCUACACAUUUGCUAGAAAACUAAAAUAAUUUGGACUUAAUUAUUUCUUUCAACUGAAGUACUCACUAAAUUUCUACCUUUUUAUUUAAGCAAGAGAGUUGCUAAAAAAAAUGGAUACGUAACCAUGUUGUAUCAUACAAAGUAACCACGUUUCACAUAUAGUCCGGCUUAGCAAACACCAUUGUUUUCUGAACAUAGCGUACAUGAGUUAACAGACAUGGAUUUAUUUCUAUUGCAAGUAGCAUAGCGUACAACCUGCCUGCACCGAUGCAGCUCAAUAUGCGAUAAUUUUUAUCUUCCCAUGUAAUUUUUCUACUCUAGUACAUAUUGAACUCCACAUUAAUGUCAUGUUCUUUCGCGCCCCAGAAGGUUCCUAAAGUUUGGAAACUUAAUAGAUAGCCAGAAUUUUUUUUAAAGAUAUUUAUAUGGAUACUUGUAUGUUCUUUCCAAACUAACAAUAUUGUUUACCAAUAUCAGAAGGAAUAUGGUUAGGAGCCAUUGCCGCAUAUGGCAGGUGAUGGUAGAUGGCGUAUGGGGUUUCGUUAAUUUAAUGGUAUAAUAAGCUGAAAUACAUUUUCUAUUUGCAAAUGAAUCAUAGCUGAAAUUGGUGGGAUUGUUUUUUUCGCCGGUUUAGCAUCCUGUGCACCAGUUCAACCGGAGGGAAGCUGUUUUUUUUCUUUGGUUUUCCACCGGUUCACCGAGACCGAUGACAAUUUUAUGGCAGAAUCAUUACUUGUUUUACUAUUAGGUGAAGAUUUUAGCGUUUAGGUAUCUCACAUUAAACGCAACUUCAACAAUCUAUUUCUAGUGUAUAAUGUAGGAGACCCCGUAAAGAGUCUACACACACAUAUAUGUUGACUAUGAAUGUAAGUUUGUUGGUUUUAUGUAUGUUCGUUUGGAGUUUAUAUAAAUUUUACAUUUUAUAGUUUUGUGUAUAUGACGAAGAUCCAUGACUUGCAUUAAUUUAGCCUUUCUUCCAACAACUCUUAUGCAUGCUGUUUCUAGGCGAGCGUACUGGUUGCAAUUUUGGUCCCCGAUAUAGUGUGAGGACUUAAGGGACACGUGCAGGUCGUAACCUUAGAUAUUUUUGCUGAGAAUGGAUGAAGAAGCAAUAAUAUACUUUGCUUCUGAUUUUCUCCAUGUCAUUUGCUUACUCUUAUCCCUUUUAUUUAUCAUUAUAAGAUGAAAAUAUUGUAAAAACUUGGCUACGUGCGGUCGCAGAAGCUAGAGACUAAAGCGUCCCCCACGAGUUACUAUAUAAAAGGAUUGCAUCCUCUACUCAGUCAUAUGUACUGUGUAGGUGAGAUGGUAAGGAAGCUAUGUGUGAGGCUUGAGGUUGUAGGUUCGAAUCCCACGCACCGCGUGCGCAUGCGCAUAUUUUGCGUGAAAAAUCGCAUGACUUGUGGUCGGCCAAGGAGAAGUGCGUGCGGCUGAGGCACGCCGCCAUAGACAUCUCGGAUUUGCUCCAAGACUACCAAGACACUAGCGAACCCUUAACGGCAAAGUUGAGUACUUACGCGUGUUAGCAUCUAUGUUGUCCAUGCUUCCAAUGCAAUAACAAGAAGGGCUACUCAUCCUAGCGGAUUCUUCACAACCACUCGUAAAGCUAUGCGUUUCUCAAUGCAAUUUCGUAGAUGUCAAUCGAUCCAACCAAGCGACUGAAUCAUUCGUCCUUGCUAAUGAUGUGCAUCAGGUUUUCUAUAUGAAGAACAUGUCUAGCAAAUCCAAGAUUUCAGAAGAAAAAUAAAAAUCAUGAGAACCAAAGCACCACGUAGUUCUUCCAGGUAAAAAAAACAAUCAUCCACUGGGAUGACACACAGUAGCGAUCCAAAACGUCCAUAUUAAGACUUUUUGAUAGCAGAAAAAACAUGAAAAUGUCUAAUAUUUGUAGUAUUAAAAGGAAAAAUAAUAUAUUCACUUGACCUUUUUUUCGUAGCAACGCACCGGUGCGUAGUCAGACUUAGGCCACGUUUGGAUACUCCCUACUAAAGUUUAGCACCUGUCACAUAGGAUGUUUGGAUACUAAUUAGGAGUAUUAAACAUAGGCUAAUUAUAAAACUAAUUGAACAGAUGGAGUCUAAUUUGCGAGACGAAUCUAUUAAGCCUAACUAGUCCAUGAUUUGACAAUGUGGUGCUACAGUAACCAUUUGCUAAUGGUGGAUUAAUUAGGCUUAAUAGAUUCGUCUCGCGAAUUAACAUAGGGUUCUGCAAUUAAUUUUAUAAUUAGCUCAUGUCUAGUCCUUCUAAUUAGCAUCCGAACAUCUGAUAUGAUACUGCUAAAGUUUAUCACCUAGUAUCCAAAUACCCCCUUAAUGCACGAUGCCUGUGCAUCCACUGGGCCUACCCUCGUGGAUCACGCGCUCGUGGAUCACGCGCACCAUGACAUGGCUCAUUAGCUAGUCGUGCUAAUCCUUACCACCAAAUUAAAAACUAGCAUGUGUUGUGUGUUUGUGACCCUAAACGACUACCACCUUCCCGAGUCCACCGGAGUUGCCAGUUCACCACUAAGCUGACUCUCCGAGCUUCAUGUCACUGUCACCGCUCCAAAGACCUAGAUCGGUUCGCUGUGCACCCCGCUUCGUCCUGAGCUAAAUCCCAUCACGAAAGGUGACCGGAUGCUCGUUUUCGAGCGAAUUCUAGCGAGAUUGCCACCACCUUUCCCCUUCCAGCCGAUCGCAGCUGUCUGAUCACAAACCGACAGCCCAGAUCGGAUUUGACCAGGUCAAUACCGGUCAAGCCGAGAUGCAUGCUGCUUUUGCAAGAAGGCCCCUAUUUUUCUCUCUUUUUGCACUUGAGGUCCUACGCAGUUCAAAAGUAAUUAGAUCUAGAUCCUUUUUCUUCUGUUUUAGCCCUGUUCUUUUAUAAAAUCCCACCCGCCAUCCUGUUUGGUAUUUUGACAUGUUAGACCUUCUAUUUAUAUGUUUAAUUAGGUUUUAGCCCUUGGUUUCUUUAAGUUUAGCUCUUGGAAGUUUAGUUUUCUCGCAGUUAAGCCCCUGAACCUUGUUUAGUUCAUAUCUUUAGCGUUUUAAAUCCGUUUUAAGAGAUUCUUACGCCCAUAAGUUCGUGUUGAUGCAUAGAUUAGUUGACUUAUACGGACCUUGCUGAUUCAGCUCCUUCAUUGUGCUUCAGAUCUCGCUAGUGAAGAAUAAUGGAUGGGCUUUGGUUGAGCUUGUAGAUCGACCUGCAGUUGCAGUGAAUGUGCUGAGGACUGGCGGUACCAAUAAUGGGAGGCCGCUGCUCUGCUUGCUACCAAGGCCUGCGACGCUUGGACGCCAUUCAGAGUGCAUAAUUUCCAAGGAUCUCAAGGGCUCCACACCACGUUCCAAGUGUUUUUUCUUUGCCGAGUGUUUUUAGCUCGGCACUUGGCAAAGAGCUUGUUUGCCGAGUGUCCGAAAAAAACACUUGGCAAAGAGAAAACACUCGGCAAAUUUGAUGUUUCCCGUAGUGAUGUACUAUUCAAACUUGAACUGGGAUGCAGGCUUCAGUACCAAAGAGAGCUCUGGGCGCGGGUGAGCAGUGAGCUGGCCGGGCAGGGAGCUCCAAAGCGACAGCAACAAAGAGAGAAAUGCUAAGAGUAAGAACGACACACGAGGUCACUUCACAUAGAUAAUAGCAGUACGAACCAUACAAUAUCCUCUCUCAGUUUCACUCCGCCUCACACACGGCUAGCACACCAUGCAUGCCGAUUUCAUAUUAUUAAUAUUAUUUUUUGGAUGGUUGUUGAAACUAUAUAUAUAGUUAGUCCAAUCUCACGUUUCCGAUUAUAAAAAUCAACGUAAAGAGAUCGGAAGGGAGAGCCGGCAUAAUGAAGCCGACGCGUGUAAUAAGCACCAGAGCCGGCAUUUAUACAAACUGGUACGAAUAGUAAAAAACUAGAAUUUAUAAAUAAAAAAAUGAUUUGCACAUCUAUGCAAUAAUUAGGGGUUAGUGGCAGGUCUAGAGAGAUAUCUCAUCAUUAUAUCCGGUUUAACGAGGAUAAAAAAGAGUGUAUUUUCCACUCAUCAUGUUGUCUUUUCGCAGCGGUACCACUUUUCGUGUGUUGUAUCGGUCCCCUAAUACGGAGUCUCCGAGGCCCGAGAAAAUAAGGAAAGUGAUAGUAGCCCAGAAAUCGGCCAAGUUUCUUUCCCCUUUGGCUUUCCUACUAGGAUUCAGAAUCCUCUUUCGCAUGACAAUCUUAAUUAUCUCCCAUACUCCAAAACUCACAAAAACAUCAAGAUUCCGCUGAGAAUAAAUUUAAGUAAAAAACAUGCACACACAGAUAAUAAUAAUAAUCAUGUUUCCAUAAAAUUGCUAAGUCCAGAGAUAAUACAUAAACAUAGUAGACUGUUCAUGACACAUAUCACGGUGGACAGUGUUUGUGUCCUUAUUACAAGCAACGAGAGAUGCUCGUCACCAACACGCGCGCGCACAGAUGCACGACAUACAUAUAGUAGAGACCAACAGAUGGUCGUCCCAUAUGGUGAACAAUUUAUUGGGGAUAAAUAUUAACGUAACUUGGCCAUAGCUUGAAGCAUAGCAACAUAUGCCUAUGAGUGGCAUUCAUGCUAUCGUUUUAGGCUUGUCCAGCUCCUUCCAUCUUAGCAAGCACUUCCAUUUCUACCAUCUUAGCAGCAACUGUCAAAUUGAGAUACGGAAAUCCCAUUAGCGCAUGAGUUAAUUUUGCAGUGGAAAUAGAGUACAAGAUGUCUUCAUGAUGUAAGUAAUAUGCCUGAAGUUGUGAGAUGGGAAGUGAAGUCAACAAAUUACAUUAACGGAAAUGCAUGGAAGGCCACACAUACGUAUUAGUCCAUGAUAUGCUACAAAGCUUGUAUGUACAUAUAGCAAAUUAAAUGCAUUAAUUGAAUAGAGUGUGUUUAGUGAAUUUACCAGAAUCGUCCAGAAAACAUGGGAAACAGCAAGUGUUCUUGCAGACUGCGUCGGAGGCACCCGCACGAAUACAAAGCUGACAACAUAGUUUUGCCUGGGCGGAUGCGCAGCAGCCGCACUCCGCCGCGGUGGGGUUAACAUUGAGGCUCAAGAUGACCAGGCACAUGAUCACCAUCAAAGUGGUAGUCCUCUUUCCCUCCAUUGCCUCCUCUUAGCUUGCUGCUACCUUCCUUGGUUACCUAGCUAAGUUUAUUGGUUUUGUGUUGAGAGGUGUGAUUUUUGAAUGGACGUUGCCGGCGGCAAUUUAUAGGCAGCUGAGCUAUGUGAUGAUAUGGACUAGGUGCAAAUGGGUGGUUAAUGGCAAGGAAAGGGGCGUCAGACAAAGCCCAAUGGCAACUGCUGACAUGCGAUUAAAUUCAGAUCCACAUCCGGCCAUUCAAUAAUACGGUUGGAGUUGUGGCACAGAUAUAUUAUUGCAUGAUCAUCAAGAUAAGAUCGUACAGUGACUGAGUGAGACAAUAAAUAGCCAAGUAAACUAUUUUAUCCUGCUGCAAGCUGCAUUCAUAAGUUUAUUUCACCUUUGAUCACAAUACUCUUCACACACGUACGUCUCAGGGAGAUCUCACUUCCGCUGGACUGCUCACUUCCGCUGUCGUCGGUACUGCCAAAGACAUAAGCUCACAUCUGCUAUUGCGGAGCAGGCCAAUUUGCUGCGGAACUUCGGCGACGACCUGAAGGACAUGAACUCGGUGCUGGAGUCCAUCUCAGCAGCGCUCUAGGACGCUGACACCGGUAGAAAAACGACCUUCCAUCGUCAACAAAAAUCCCGGUAGCUUUUUUACUCGGUACUAAAGAGGUUUUAAUCUCGUGCAAACACCUUUAGUCCAGAUUGCUAUUACCACGCAACCCGGACUAAAGCGUCCCCCGCGAGUUAGUAUAUAAGGAUUGCAUCCUUUACUCAGUCAGAUAUAAUAUGUAGGUGAGAUGGUAAGGAAGCUAUGCGUGAGGCUUCAGGUUGUGGGUUCGAAUCCAAGUGGGUGCAGCUGUGGCUUAAGCGGCUGAGGCACGCCGCCAUAGACAUCUCAGAUUUGCUCGAAGACUACCAAGACACUAGUGAACCCUUAACAGUAAAGGUGAGUACUUAUGAAUGUCAGCAUCCAUGUUGUCCAUGCUUCCAAUGUAAUAACAAGAUGGACUACUCUUCCUAGCGGACUCUUCACAACCACUCGUAAAGCUAUGCGUUUCUCAAUGCAAUUUCGUAGAAGCCAAUCGAUCCAACCAAGUGACUAAAUCAUUCGUCCUUUCCAAUGAUGUGCAUCAGGUUUUCUAUAUGAAGGGCAUGUCUAGCAAACCUAAGAUUUCAGAAGAAAAAGAAAAAUCAUUGGAGCCAAAGAGCCACAUAGUUCUUCUAGGAAAAAAAUCAUGGGAGUCGAGAACAUAUCAAACCAAUCAGGGGAUUAUGGUCAGCUUAAUGGCAUGCCUCCAUUCGAUGUCGAAGUUCACCCAAGCAUCAUGUUAGCCAAACAUCAAAUGUUCGUGCGUUGUUACGGUAAAGAUCAAUUGUGUUUUUUAAACUCUUGGAAUUUUUUUAUCUAAGUUUUUAUUUACACUUAUUGGAUGUCUACACAUUUGCUAGAAAACUAAAAUAAUUUGGACUUAAUUAUUUCUUUCAACUGAAGUACUCACUAAAUUUCUACCUUUUUAUUUAAGCAAGAGAGUUGCUAAAAAAAAUGGAUACGUAACCAUGUUGUAUCAUACAAAGUAACCACGUUUCACAUAUAGUCCGGCUUAGCAAACACCAUUGUUUUCUGAACAUAGCGUACAUGAGUUAACAGACAUGGAUUUAUUUCUAUUGCAAGUAGCAUAGCGUACAACCUGCCUGCACCGAUGCAGCUCAAUAUGCGAUAAUUUUUAUCUUCCCAUGUAAUUUUUCUACUCUAGUACAUAUUGAACUCCACAUUAAUGUCAUGUUCUUUCGCGCCCCAGAAGGUUCCUAAAGUUUGGAAACUUAAUAGAUAGCCAGAAUUUUUUUUAAAGAUAUUUAUAUGGAUACUUGUAUGUUCUUUCCAAACUAACAAUAUUGUUUACCAAUAUCAGAAGGAAUAUGGUUAGGAGCCAUUGCCGCAUAUGGCAGGUGAUGGUAGAUGGCGUAUGGGGUUUCGUUAAUUUAAUGGUAUAAUAAGCUGAAAUACAUUUUCUAUUUGCAAAUGAAUCAUAGCUGAAAUUGGUGGGAUUGUUUUUUCGCCGGUUUAGCAUCCUGUGCACCAGUUCAACCGGAGGGAAGCUGUUUUUUUUCUUUGGUUUUCCACCGGUUCACCGAGACCGAUGACAAUUUUAUGGCAGAAUCAUUACUUGUUUUACUAUUAGGUGAAGAUUUUAGCGUUUAGGUAUCUCACAUUAAACGCAACUUCAACAAUCUAUUUCUAGUGUAUAAUGUAGGAGACCCCGUAAAGAGUCUACACACACAUAUAUGUUGACUAUGAAUGUAAGUUUGUUGGUUUUAUGUAUGUUCGUUUGGAGUUUAUAUAAAUUUUACAUUUUAUAGUUUUGUGUAUAUGACGAAGAUCCAUGACUUGCAUUAAUUUAGCCUUUCUUCCAACAACUCUUAUGCAUGCUGUUUCUAGGCGAGCGUACUGGUUGCAAUUUUGGUCCCCGAUAUAGUGUGAGGACUUAAGGGACACGUGCAGGUCGUAACCUUAGAUAUUUUUGCUGAGAAUGGAUGAAGAAGCAAUAAUAUACUUUGCUUCUGAUUUUCUCCAUGUCAUUUGCUUACUCUUAUCCCUUUUAUUUAUCAUUAUAAGAUGAAAAUAUUGUAAAAACUUGGCUACGUGCGGUCGCAGAAGCUAGAGACUAAAGCGUCCCCCACGAGUUACUAUAUAAAAGGAUUGCAUCCUCUACUCAGUCAUAUGUACUGUGUAGGUGAGAUGGUAAGGAAGCUAUGUGUGAGGCUUGAGGUUGUAGGUUCGAAUCCCACGCACCGCGUGCGCAUGCGCAUAUUUUGCGUGAAAAAUCGCAUGACUUGUGGUCGGCCAAGGAGAAGUGCGUGCGGCUGAGGCACGCCGCCAUAGACAUCUCGGAUUUGCUCCAAGACUACCAAGACACUAGCGAACCCUUAACGGCAAAGUUGAGUACUUACGCGUGUUAGCAUCUAUGUUGUCCAUGCUUCCAAUGCAAUAACAAGAAGGGCUACUCAUCCUAGCGGAUUCUUCACAACCACUCGUAAAGCUAUGCGUUUCUCAAUGCAAUUUCGUAGAUGUCAAUCGAUCCAACCAAGCGACUGAAUCAUUCGUCCUUGCUAAUGAUGUGCAUCAGGUUUUCUAUAUGAAGAACAUGUCUAGCAAAUCCAAGAUUUCAGAAGAAAAAUAAAAAUCAUGAGAACCAAAGCACCACGUAGUUCUUCCAGGUAAAAAAAACAAUCAUCCACUGGGAUGACACACAGUAGCGAUCCAAAACGUCCAUAUUAAGACUUUUUGAUAGCAGAAAAAACAUGAAAAUGUCUAAUAUUUGUAGUAUUAAAAGGAAAAAUAAUAUAUUCACUUGACCUUUUUUUCGUAGCAACGCACCGGUGCGUAGUCAGACUUAGGCCACGUUUGGAUACUCCCUACUAAAGUUUAGCACCUGUCACAUAGGAUGUUUGGAUACUAAUUAGGAGUAUUAAACAUAGGCUAAUUAUAAAACUAAUUGAAUAGAUGGAGUCUAAUUUGCGAGACGAAUCUAUUAAGCCUAACUAGUCCAUGAUUUGACAAUGUGGUGCUACAGUAACCAUUUGCUAAUGGUGGAUUAAUUAGGCUUAAUAGAUUCGUCUCGCGAAUUAACAUAGGGUUCUGCAAUUAAUUUUAUAAUUAGCUCAUGUCUAGUCCUUCUAAUUAGCAUCCGAACAUCUGAUAUGAUACUGCUAAAGUUUAUCACCUAGUAUCCAAAUACCCCCUUAAUGCACGAUGCCUGUGCAUCCACUGGGCCUACCCUCGUGGAUCACGCGCUCGUGGAUCACGCGCACCAUGACAUGGCUCAUUAGCUAGUCGUGCUAAUCCUUACCACCAAAUUAAAAACUAGCAUGUGUUGUGUGUUUGUGACCCUAAACGACUACCACCUUCCCGAGUCCACCGGAGUUGCCAGUUCACCACUAAGCUGACUCUCCGAGCUUCAUGUCACUGUCACCGCUCCAAAGACCUAGAUCGGUUCGCUGUGCACCCCGCUUCGUCCUGAGCUAAAUCCCAUCACGAAAGGUGACCGGAUGCUCGUUUUCGAGCGAAUUCUAGCGAGAUUGCCACCACCUUUCCCCUUCCAGCCGAUCGCAGCUGUCUGAUCACAAACCGACAGCCCAGAUCGGAUUUGACCAGGUCAAUACCGGUCAAGCCGAGAUGCAUGCUGCUUUUGCAAGAAGGCCCCUAUUUUUCUCUCGUUUUGCACUUGAGGUCCUACGCAGUUCAAAAGUAAUUAGAUCUAGAUCCUUUUUCUUCUGUUUUAGCCCUGUUCUUUUAUAAAAUCCCACCCGCCAUCCUGUUUGGUAUUUUGACAUGUUAGACCUUCUAUUUAUAUGUUUAAUUAGGUUUUAGCCCUUGGUUUCUUUAAGUUUAGCUCUUGGAAGUUUAGUUUUCUCGCAGUUAAGCCCCUGAACCUUGUUUAGUUCAUAUCUUUAGCGUUUUAAAUCCGUUUUAAGAGAUUCUUACGCCCAUAAGUUCGUGUUGAUGCAUAGAUUAGUUGACUUAUACGGACCUUGCUGAUUCAGCUCCUUCAUUGUGCUUCAGAUCUCGCUAGUGAAGAAUAAUGGAUGGGCUUUGGUUGAGCUUGUAGAUCGACCUGCAGUUGCAGUGAAUGUGCUGAGGACUGGCGGUACCAAUAAUGGGAGGCCGCUGCUCUGCUUGCUACCAAGGCCUGCGACGCUUGGACGCCAUUCAGAGUGCAUAAUUUCCAAGGAUCUCAAGGGCUCCACACCACGUUCCAAGUGUUUUUUCUUUGCCGAGUGUUUUUAGCUCGGCACUUGGCAAAGAGCUUGUUUGCCGAGUGUCCGAAAAAAACACUUGGCAAAGAGAAAACACUCGGCAAAUUUGAUGUUUCCCGUAGUGAUGUACUAUUCAAACUUGAACUGGGAUGCAGGCUUCAGUACCAAAGAGAGCUCUGGGCGCGGGUGAGCAGUGAGCUGGCCGGGCAGGGAGCUCCAAAGCGACAGCAACAAAGAGAGAAAUGCUAAGAGUAAGAACGACACACGAGGUCACUUCACAUAGAUAAUAGCAGUACGAACCAUACAAUAUCCUCUCUCAGUUUCACUCCGCCUCACACACGGCUAGCACACCAUGCAUGCCGAUUUCAUAUUAUUAAUAUUAUUUUUUGGAUGGUUGUUGAAACUAUAUAUAUAGUUAGUCCAAUCUCACGUUUCCGAUUAUAAAAAUCAACGUAAAGAGAUCGGUAGGGAGAGCCGGCAUAAUGAAGCCGACGCGUGUAAUAAGCACCAGAGCCGGCAUUUAUACAAACUGGUACGAAUAGUAAAAAACUAGAAUUUAUAAAUAAAAAAAUGAUUUGCACAUCUAUGCAAUAAUUAGGGGUUAGUGGCAGGUCUAGAGAGAUAUCUCAUCAUUAUAUCCGGUUUAACGAGGAUAAAAAAGAGUGUAUUUUCCACUCAUCAUGUUGUCUUUUCGCAGCGGUACCACUUUUCGUGUGUUGUAUCGGUCCCCUAAUACGGAGUCUCCGAGGCCCGAGAAAAUAAGGAAAGUGAUAGUAGCCCAGAAAUCGGCCAAGUUUCUUUCCCCUUUGGCUUUCCUACUAGGAUUCAGAAUCCUCUUUCGCAUGACAAUCUUAAUUAUCUCCCAUACUCCAAAACUCACAAAAACAUCAAGAGUCCGCUGAGAAUAAAUUUAAGUAAAAAACAUGCACACACAGAUAAUAAUAAUAAUCAUGUUUCCAUAAAAUUGCUAAGUCCAGAGAUAAUACAUAAACAUAGUAGACUGUUCAUGACACAUAUCACGGUGGACAGUGUUUGUGUCCUUAUUACAAGCAACGAGAGAUGCUCGUCACCAACACGCGCGCGCACAGAUGCACGACAUACAUAUAGUAGAGACCAACAGAUGGUCGUCCCAUAUGGUGAACAAUUUAUUGGAGAUAAAUAUUAACGUAACUUGGCCAUAGCUUGAAGCAUAGCAACAUAUGCCUAUGAGUGGCAUUCAUGCUAUCGUUUUAGGCUUGUCCAGCUCCUUCCAUCUUAGCAAGCACUUCCAUUUCUACCAUCUUAGCAGCAACUGUCAAAUUGAGAUACGGAAAUCCCAUUAGCGCAUGAGUUAAUUUUGCAGUGGAAAUAGAGUACAAGAUGUCUUCAUGAUGUAAGUAAUAUGCCUGAAGUUGUGAGAUGGGAAGUGAAGUCAACAAAUUACAUUAACGGAAAUGCAUGGAAGGCCACACAUACGUAUUAGUCCAUGAUAUGCUACAAAGCUUGUAUGUACAUAUAGCAAAUUAAAUGCAUUAAUUGAAUAGAGUGUGUUUAGUGAAUUUACCAGAAUCGUCCAGAAAACAUGGGAAACAGCAAGUGUUCUUGCAGACUGCGUCGGAGGCACCCGCACGAAUACAAAGCUGACAACAUAGUUUUGCCUGGGCGGAUGCGCAGCAGCCGCACUCCGCCGCGGUGGGGUUAACAUUGAGGCUCAAGAUGACCAGGCACAUGAUCACCAUCAAAGUGGUAGUCCUCUUUCCCUCCAUUGCCUCCUCUUAGCUUGCUGCUACCUUCCUUGGUUACCUAGCUAAGUUUAUUGGUUUUGUGUUGAGAGGUGUGAUUCUUGAAUGGACGUUGCCGGCGGCAAUUUAUAGGCAGCUGAGCUAUGUGAUGAUAUGGACUAGGUGCAAAUGGGUGGUUAAUGGCAAGGAAAGGGGCGUCAGACAAAGCCCAAUGGCAACUGCUGACAUGCGAUUAAAUUCAGAUCCACAUCCGGCCAUUCAAUAAUACGGUUGGAGUUGUGGCACAGAUAUAUUAUUGCAUGAUCAUCAAGAUAAGAUCGUACAGUGACUGAGUGAGACAAUAAAUAGCCAAGUAAACUAUUUUAUCCUGCUGCAAGCUGCAUUCAUAAGUUUAUUUCACCUUUGAUCACAAUACUCUUCACACACGUACGUCUCAGGGAGAUCUCACUUCCGCUGGACUGCUCACUUCCGCUGUCGUCGGUACUGCCAAAGACAUAAGCUCACAUCUGCUAUUGCGGAGCAGGCCAAUUUGCUGCGGAACUUCGGCGACGACCUGAAGGACAUGAACUCGGUGCUGGAGUCCAUCUCAGCAGCGCUCUAGGACGCUGACACCGGUAGAAAAACGACCUUCCAUCGUCAACAAAAAUCCCGGUAGCUUUUUUACUCGGUACUAAAGAGGUUUUAAUCUCGUGCAAACACCUUUAGUCCAGAUUGCUAUUACCACGCAACCCGGACUAAAGCGUCCCCCGCGAGUUAGUAUAUAAGGAUUGCAUCCUUUACUCAGUCAGAUAUAAUAUGUAGGUGAGAUGGUAAGGAAGCUAUGCGUGAGGCUUCAGGUUGUGGGUUCGAAUCCAAGUGGGUGCAGCUGUGGCUUAAGCGGCUGAGGCACGCCGCCAUAGACAUCUCAGAUUUGCUCGAAGACUACCAAGACACUAGUGAACCCUUAACAGUAAAGGUGAGUACUUAUGAAUGUCAGCAUCCAUGUUGUCCAUGCUUCCAAUGUAAUAACAAGAUGGACUACUCUUCCUAGCGGACUCUUCACAACCACUCGUAAAGCUAUGCGUUUCUCAAUGCAAUUUCGUAGAAGCCAAUCGAUCCAACCAAGUGACUAAAUCAUUCGUCCUUUCCAAUGAUGUGCAUCAGGUUUUCUAUAUGAAGGGCAUGUCUAGCAAACCUAAGAUUUCAGAAGAAAAAGAAAAAUCAUUGGAGCCAAAGAGCCACAUAGUUCUUCUAGGAAAAAAAUCAUGGGAGUCGAGAACAUAUCAAACCAAUCAGGGGAUUAUGGUCAGCUUAAUGGCAUGCCUCCAUUCGAUGUCGAAGUUCACCCAAGCAUCAUGUUAGCCAAACAUCAAAUGUUCGUGCGUUGUUACGGUAAAGAUCAAUUGUGUUUUUUAAACUCUUGGAAUUUUUUUAUCUAAGUUUUUAUUUACACUUAUUGGAUGUCUACACAUUUGCUAGAAAACUAAAAUAAUUUGGACUUAAUUAUUUCUUUCAACUGAAGUACUCACUAAAUUUCUACCUUUUUAUUUAAGCAAGAGAGUUGCUAAAAAAAAUGGAUACGUAACCAUGUUGUAUCAUACAAAGUAACCACGUUUCACAUAUAGUCCGGCUUAGCAAACACCAUUGUUUUCUGAACAUAGCGUACAUGAGUUAACAGACAUGGAUUUAUUUCUAUUGCAAGUAGCAUAGCGUACAACCUGCCUGCACCGAUGCAGCUCAAUAUGCGAUAAUUUUUAUCUUCCCAUGUAAUUUUUCUACUCUAGUACAUAUUGAACUCCACAUUAAUGUCAUGUUCUUUCGCGCCCCAGAAGGUUCCUAAAGUUUGGAAACUUAAUAGAUAGCCAGAAUUUUUUUUAAAGAUAUUUAUAUGGAUACUUGUAUGUUCUUUCCAAACUAACAAUAUUGUUUACCAAUAUCAGAAGGAAUAUGGUUAGGAGCCAUUGCCGCAUAUGGCAGGUGAUGGUAGAUGGCGUAUGGGGUUUCGUUAAUUUAAUGGUAUAAUAAGCUGAAAUACAUUUUCUAUUUGCAAAUGAAUCAUAGCUGAAAUUGGUGGGAUUGUUUUUUCGCCGGUUUAGCAUCCUGUGCACCAGUUCAACCGGAGGGAAGCUGUUUUUUUUCUUUGGUUUUCCACCGGUUCACCGAGACCGAUGACAAUUUUAUGGCAGAAUCAUUACUUGUUUUACUAUUAGGUGAAGAUUUUAGCGUUUAGGUAUCUCACAUUAAACGCAACUUCAACAAUCUAUUUCUAGUGUAUAAUGUAGGAGACCCCGUAAAGAGUCUACACACACAUAUAUGUUGACUAUGAAUGUAAGUUUGUUGGUUUUAUGUAUGUUCGUUUGGAGUUUAUAUAAAUUUUACAUUUUAUAGUUUUGUGUAUAUGACGAAGAUCCAUGACUUGCAUUAAUUUAGCCUUUCUUCCAACAACUCUUAUGCAUGAUGUUUCUAGGCGAGCGUACUGGUUGCAAUUUUGGUCCCCGAUAUAGUGUGAGGACUUAAGGGACACGUGCAGGUCGUAACCUUAGAUAUUUUUGCUGAGAAUGGAUGAAGAAGCAAUAAUAUACUUUGCUUCUGAUUUUCUCCAUGUCAUUUGCUUACUCUUAUCCCUUUUAUUUAUCAUUAUAAGAUGAAAAUAUUGUAAAAACUUGGCUACGUGCGGUCGCAGAAGCUAGAGACUAAAGCGUCCCCCACGAGUUACUAUAUAAAAGGAUUGCAUCCUCUACUCAGUCAUAUGUACUGUGUAGGUGAGAUGGUAAGGAAGCUAUGUGUGAGGCUUGAGGUUGUAGGUUCGAAUCCCACGCACCGCGUGCGCAUGCGCAUAUUUUGCGUGAAAAAUCGCAUGACUUGUGGUCGGCCAAGGAGAAGUGCGUGCGGCUGAGGCACGCCGCCAUAGACAUCUCGGAUUUGCUCCAAGACUACCAAGACACUAGCGAACCCUUAACGGCAAAGUUGAGUACUUACGCGUGUUAGCAUCUAUGUUGUCCAUGCUUCCAAUGCAAUAACAAGAAGGGCUACUCAUCCUAGCGGAUUCUUCACAACCACUCGUAAAGCUAUGCGUUUCUCAAUGCAAUUUCGUAGAUGUCAAUCGAUCCAACCAAGCGACUGAAUCAUUCGUCCUUGCUAAUGAUGUGCAUCAGGUUUUCUAUAUGAAGAACAUGUCUAGCAAAUCCAAGAUUUCAGAAGAAAAAUAAAAAUCAUGAGAACCAAAGCACCACGUAGUUCUUCCAGGUAAAAAAAACAAUCAUCCACUGGGAUGACACACAGUAGCGAUCCAAAACGUCCAUAUUAAGACUUUUUGAUAGCAGAAAAAACAUGAAAAUGUCUAAUAUUUGUAGUAUUAAAAGGAAAAAUAAUAUAUUCACUUGACCUUUUUUUCGUAGCAACGCACCGGUGCGUAGUCAGACUUAGGCCACGUUUGGAUACUCCCUACUAAAGUUUAGCACCUGUCACAUAGGAUGUUUGGAUACUAAUUAGGAGUAUUAAACAUAGGCUAAUUAUAAAACUAAUUGAACAGAUGGAGUCUAAUUUGCGAGACGAAUCUAUUAAGCCUAACUAGUCCAUGAUUUGACAAUGUGGUGCUACAGUAACCAUUUGCUAAUGGUGGAUUAAUUAGGCUUAAUAGAUUCGUCUCGCGAAUUAACAUAGGGUUCUGCAAUUAAUUUUAUAAUUAGCUCAUGUCUAGUCCUUCUAAUUAGCAUCCGAACAUCUGAUAUGAUACUGCUAAAGUUUAUCACCUAGUAUCCAAAUACCCCCUUAAUGCACGAUGCCUGUGCAUCCACUGGGCCUACCCUCGUGGAUCACGCGCUCGUGGAUCACGCGCACCAUGACAUGGCUCAUUAGCUAGUCGUGCUAAUCCUUACCACCAAAUUAAAAACUAGCAUGUGUUGUGUGUUUGUGACCCUAAACGACUACCACCUUCCCGAGUCCACCGGAGUUGCCAGUUCACCACUAAGCUGACUCUCCGAGCUUCAUGUCACUGUCACCGCUCCAAAGACCUAGAUCGGUUCGCUGUGCACCCCGCUUCGUCCUGAGCUAAAUCCCAUCACGAAAGGUGACCGGAUGCUCGUUUUCGAGCGAAUUCUAGCGAGAUUGCCACCACCUUUCCCCUUCCAGCCGAUCGCAGCUGUCUGAUCACAAACCGACAGCCCAGAUCGGAUUUGACCAGGUCAAUACCGGUCAAGCCGAGAUGCAUGCUGCUUUUGCAAGAAGGCCCCUAUUUUUCUCUCUUUUUGCACUUGAGGUCCUACGCAGUUCAAAAGUAAUUAGAUCUAGAUCCUUUUUCUUCUGUUUUAGCCCUGUUCUUUUAUAAAAUCCCACCCGCCAUCCUGUUUGGUAUUUUGACAUGUUAGACCUUCUAUUUAUAUGUUUAAUUAGGUUUUAGCCCUUGGUUUCUUUAAGUUUAGCUCUUGGAAGUUUAGUUUUCUCGCAGUUAAGCCCCUGAACCUUGUUUAGUUCAUAUCUUUAGCGUUUUAAAUCCGUUUUAAGAGAUUCUUACGCCCAUAAGUUCGUGUUGAUGCAUAGAUUAGUUGACUUAUACGGACCUUGCUGAUUCAGCUCCUUCAUUGUGCUUCAGAUCUCGCUAGUGAAGAAUAAUGGAUGGGCUUUGGUUGAGCUUGUAGAUCGACCUGCAGUUGCAGUGAAUGUGCUGAGGACUGGCGGUACCAAUAAUGGGAGGCCGCUGCUCUGCUUGCUACCAAGGCCUGCGACGCUUGGACGCCAUUCAGAGUGCAUAAUUUCCAAGGAUCUCAAGGGCUCCACACCACGUUCCAAGUGUUUUUUCUUUGCCGAGUGUUUUUAGCUCGGCACUUGGCAAAGAGCUUGUUUGCCGAGUGUCCGAAAAAAACACUUGGCAAAGAGAAAACACUCGGCAAAUUUGAUGUUUCCCGUAGUGAUGUACUAUUCAAACUUGAACUGGGAUGCAGGCUUCAGUACCAAAGAGAGCUCUGGGCGCGGGUGAGCAGUGAGCUGGCCGGGCAGGGAGCUCCAAAGCGACAGCAACAAAGAGAGAAAUGCUAAGAGUAAGAACGACACACGAGGUCACUUCACAUAGAUAAUAGCAGUACGAACCAUACAAUAUCCUCUCUCAGUUUCACUCCGCCUCACACACGGCUAGCACACCAUGCAUGCCGAUUUCAUAUUAUUAAUAUUAUUUUUUGGAUGGUUGUUGAAACUAUAUAUAUAGUUAGUCCAAUCUCACGUUUCCGAUUAUAAAAAUCAACGUAAAGAGAUCGGUAGGGAGAGCCGGCAUAAUGAAGCCGACGCGUGUAAUAAGCACCAGAGCCGGCAUUUAUACAAACUGGUACGAAUAGUAAAAAACUAGAAUUUAUAAAUAAAAAAAUGAUUUGCACAUCUAUGCAAUAAUUAGGGGUUAGUGGCAGGUCUAGAGAGAUAUCUCAUCAUUAUAUCCGGUUUAACGAGGAUAAAAAAGAGUGUAUUUUCCACUCAUCAUGUUGUCUUUUCGCAGCGGUACCACUUUUCGUGUGUUGUAUCGGUCCCCUAAUACGGAGUCUCCGAGGCCCGAGAAAAUAAGGAAAGUGAUAGUAGCCCAGAAAUCGGCCAAGUUUCUUUCCCCUUUGGCUUUCCUACUAGGAUUCAGAAUCCUCUUUCGCAUGACAAUCUUAAUUAUCUCCCAUACUCCAAAACUCACAAAAACAUCAAGAGUCCGCUGAGAAUAAAUUUAAGUAAAAAACAUGCACACACAGAUAAUAAUAAUAAUCAUGUUUCCAUAAAAUUGCUAAGUCCAGAGAUAAUACAUAAACAUAGUAGACUGUUCAUGACACAUAUCACGGUGGACAGUGUUUGUGUCCUUAUUACAAGCAACGAGAGAUGCUCGUCACCAACACGCGCGCGCACAGAUGCACGACAUACAUAUAGUAGAGACCAACAGAUGGUCGUCCCAUAUGGUGAACAAUUUAUUGGAGAUAAAUAUUAACGUAACUUGGCCAUAGCUUGAAGCAUAGCAACAUAUGCCUAUGAGUGGCAUUCAUGCUAUCGUUUUAGGCUUGUCCAGCUCCUUCCAUCUUAGCAAGCACUUCCAUUUCUACCAUCUUAGCAGCAACUGUCAAAUUGAGAUACGGAAAUCCCAUUAGCGCAUGAGUUAAUUUUGCAGUGGAAAUAGAGUACAAGAUGUCUUCAUGAUGUAAGUAAUAUGCCUGAAGUUGUGAGAUGGGAAGUGAAGUCAACAAAUUACAUUAACGGAAAUGCAUGGAAGGCCACACAUACGUAUUAGUCCAUGAUAUGCUACAAAGCUUGUAUGUACAUAUAGCAAAUUAAAUGCAUUAAUUGAAUAGAGUGUGUUUAGUGAAUUUACCAGAAUCGUCCAGAAAACAUGGGAAACAGCAAGUGUUCUUGCAGACUGCGUCGGAGGCACCCGCACGAAUACAAAGCUGACAACAUAGUUUUGCCUGGGCGGAUGCGCAGCAGCCGCACUCCGCCGCGGUGGGGUUAACAUUGAGGCUCAAGAUGACCAGGCACAUGAUCACCAUCAAAGUGGUAGUCCUCUUUCCCUCCAUUGCCUCCUCUUAGCUUGCUGCUACCUUCCUUGGUUACCUAGCUAAGUUUAUUGGUUUUGUGUUGAGAGGUGUGAUUCUUGAAUGGACGUUGCCGGCGGCAAUUUAUAGGCAGCUGAGCUAUGUGAUGAUAUGGACUAGGUGCAAAUGGGUGGUUAAUGGCAAGGAAAGGGGCGUCAGACAAAGCCCAAUGGCAACUGCUGACAUGCGAUUAAAUUCAGAUCCACAUCCGGCCAUUCAAUAAUACGGUUGGAGUUGUGGCACAGAUAUAUUAUUGCAUGAUCAUCAAGAUAAGAUCGUACAGUGACUGAGUGAGACAAUAAAUAGCCAAGUAAACUAUUUUAUCCUGCUGCAAGCUGCAUUCAUAAGUUUAUUUCACCUUUGAUCACAAUACUCUUCACACACGUACGUCUCAGGGAGAUCUCACUUCCGCUGGACUGCUCACUUCCGCUGUCGUCGGUACUGCCAAAGACAUAAGCUCACAUCUGCUAUUGCGGAGCAGGCCAAUUUGCUGCGGAACUUCGGCGACGACCUGAAGGACAUGAACUCGGUGCUGGAGUCCAUCUCAGCAGCGCUCUAGGACGCUGACACCGGUAGAAAAACGACCUUCCAUCGUCAACAAAAAUCCCGGUAGCUUUUUUACUCGGUACUAAAGAGGUUUUAAUCUCGUGCAAACACCUUUAGUCCGGAUUGCUGUUACCACGCAACCCGAACUAAAGCGUCCCCCACGAGUUACUAUAUAAGGAUUGCAUCCUUUACUCAGUCAGAUAUAAUGUGUAGGUGAGAUGGUAAGGAAGCUAUACGUGAGGCUUCAGGUUGUGGGUUCGAAUCCAAGGAGAAGUGGGUGCAGCUGUGGCUUAAGCGGCUGAGGCACGCCGCCAUAGACAUCUCAGAUUUGCUCGAAGACUACCAAGACACUAGUGAACCCUUAACAGUAAAGGUGAGUACUUAUGAAUGUCAGCAUCCAUGUUGUCCAUGCUUCCAAUGUAAUAACAAGAUGGACUACUCUUCCUAGCGGACUCUUCACAACCACUCGUAAAGCUAUACGUUUCUCAAUGCAAUUUCGUAGAAGCCAAUCGAUCCAACCAAGUGACUAAAUCAUUCAUCCUUUCCAAUGAUGUGCAUCAGGUUUUCUACAUGAAGGGCAUCUCUAGCAAACCCAAGAUUUCAGAAGAAAAAGAAAAAUCAUUGGAGCCAAAGAGCCACAUAGUUCUUCCAGGAAAAAAAAAUCAUGGGAGUCGAGAACAAAUCAAACCAAUCAGAGGAUUAUGGUCAGCUUAAUGGCAUGCCUCCAUUCGAUGUCGAAGUUCACCCAAGCAUCAUGUUAGCCAAACAUCAAAUGUUCGUGCGUUGUUACGGUAAAGAUCAAUUGUGUUUUUUAAACUCAUGGAAUUUUUUUUCUAAGUUUUUAUUACACUUAUUGGAUGUCUACACAUUUGCUAGAAAACCAAAAUAAUUUGGACUUAAUUAUUUCUUUCAACUGAAGUACUCACUAAAUUUCUACCUUUUUAUUUAAGCAAGAGAGUUGCUAAAAAAAAUGGAUACAUAACCAUGUUGUAUCGUACAAAGCAACCACAUUUCACAUAUAGUCCGGCUUACCAAACACCAUUUUUUACUGAACAUAGCGUACAUGAGUUAAGAGACAUGGAUUUAUUUCUAUUGCAAGUAGCAUAGCGUACAACCUGCCUGCACCGAUGCAGCUCAAUAUGCGAUAAUUUUUAUCUUCCCAUGUAAUUUUUCUACUCUAGUACAUAUUGAACUCCACAUUAAUGUCAUGUUCUUUGGCGCCCCAGACGGUUCCUAAAGUUUGGAAACAAAAUAGAUAGCCAGAAAUUUUUUUAAAAAAUAUUUAUAUGGAUAUUUGUAUGUUCUUUGCAAACUAACAAUAUUGUUUACCAAUAUCAAAAGGAAUAUGGCUAGGAGCCAUUGCCGCAUAUGGCAGGUGAUGGUAGAUGGCGUAUGGGAUUUCGUUAAUUUAAUGGUAUAAUAAGCUGAAAUACAUUUUCUAUUUGCAAAUGAAUCAUAGCUGAAAGUGGUGAGAUUGUUUUUUCGCCGGUUUAGCAUCCUGUGCACCGGUUCAACUGGAGGGAAGCGGUUCACCGAGACGGAUGACAAUUUUACGGCAGAAUCAUUACUUGUUUUAUUAUUAGGUGAAGAUUUUAGCUUUUAGGUAUCUCACAUUAACAAUCUGUUUCUAGUGUAUAAUGUAGGAGACCCGUAAAGAGUCUACACACACAUAUAUAUGUUGACUAUGAAUGUAAGUUUGUUGGUUUUAUGUAUGUUCAUUUGGAGUUUAUAUAAAUUUUACAUUUUAUAGUUUUGUGUAUAUGACGAAGAUCCAUGACUUGCAUUAAUUUAACCUUUCUUCCAACAACUCUUAUGCAUGCUGUUUCUAGGGGAGCGCACUGGUUGCAAUUUUGGUCCCCGAUAUAGCAUGAGGACUUAAGGGAGACGGGCACGUCGUAACCUUAGAUAUUUUUGCAAGAAGCAAAUUAUACUUUGCUUUUGAUUUUCUCCAUGCCAUUUGCUGACUCUUAUCCCUUUUAUUUAUCAUUAUAAGAUGAAAAUAUUGUAAAAACUUGGUUACGUGCGGUCGCAGAAGCUAGAGACUAUUUCUUUUUUUAAAAAUACGCAAGAGGGAGAAACUUGGUAACAGCUAGACAGUGAAGAUCGCAUUUCAUAAGAAAGAUGGUGCACGUUCUUGUUUGGCUGUUAACGAAAUGACUUCGUUUCACCACACCACCAGAGAGCCCCAUUGCACUUGCAGCAAAAGCGUGGAGCCGCUUUCAACCAGCGUGCAAUAAUGCAGUCCCGCGUGUCUUGGUCUUACAGGAUAUUUGGUUCUUUAGUCCGGACUAAAAUUCAUGUCGCAUAGAAUAUUCAGAUGUUAAAUAGGAGGACUAAACAUGAGCUAAUUAUAAAAAUAAUUACACAAAUGGAGGCUAAUUCCCAAGACAAAUCUAUUAAGUCUAAUUAAUCCAUCAUUAGCACAUGUUUACCGUAGCACCGUAUUGUCAAAUCAUGGACUAAUUAGGCUUAAUAAAUUCGUCUCGCAAGUUAGUCUCCAUCUAUACAAUUUGUUUUAUAAUUAGUCAAUGUUUAAUACUCUAUCUAAACAUUCAAUGUGACUGAAAUUUUAGGAGGUCCUAAAGAACCAAACACCCCUUAGUCUCCGCCUGAACUAUAGCAGGUGCUGGCAGCGGUAGCAGGGUCGUCCAUUAUAUCUAUGGAUGGAAAUGAUCUGAUUCGGAUGGAAUCGAAUUCGAAUAGCACUUUUUACCACAUACUAAUCUGAAUUGGAUGUUCUCGAAUGUGAAUGCAAAACGGAUAGUUCAAAUUUGAAUACUUUGCGGAUUUUUGCAUAAUAUUAAUCGAAGAGAAUUUGUUAAAUUUAGCCGAGACAUAAAUUUUUCUAAAUUCAAAUACUUUGCAGAUUUUCGAAUGCAAAUUUUUUCAUACGAUCUCGGUUGAAUACAAACUUUAUAUCAAAGUUGUAUAUUUAGAUUAUAUAUAAAACUUUGUAGUUGACCUCCUUUUCAUUUAAAAUUUUUUAAUAGCUCAAAACAUUAUUCUAAGCUUUCUAAUUUCAAAAUCUUGAAUUUUAAAUUUUUCAAACGACCUCGGAUGCAAACAAGCUCUAUAUCAAAGUGCUUAAUGAGAUAUAAAAUUUUGUAGUUGACAAGUUUUUUAGUUGAAAACAUUUAGUUAUCACAAACAUACAAGUUCUUCAUUUGAUGUCGAGGAUUGGAAGUGUUGAGUUUGAAGAAUAUAUUCUUUGAUUACAAACUUUUCCAUAUGAUCUUGGAUGAAUACGAACUUUAUUUCAAAGUUGCAAAUUUAGAUUAGACCAAAAACAGUAUAGUUUACAAUUUUUUCAUUCAAAAUUAUUUAGUAGCUCAAAAUGUUAUUCUAAACUCUCUAAUUUUGAAAUCUUGAAUUUUAAAAUUUUCAAAUGACCUCGGAUGCAAACAAGCUCUAUAUCGAAGUGGUAGUUCUUAAUGAGAUAUAAAAUUUUGUAGUUCCAUCUGAGAUCAUUUAACAGUCACAAAUAUACAAGUUUUUCAUAUGAUGCUAAGGAUCAGAAAGAUUAAGUUUGAAGGCUGUAUUUUUUUAAUACAAAUUUUUGCAUACGAUCUCGGAUGAAUACAAACUUUAUAUCAAAAUUGUAGAGCUCGAUGAGAAUUUAAACUUUGUAGUUGAUAUAUUUUUCAUUCGAGAAUGUUUAGUGGUCCAAACAUGUAUUAUAAGUUCAGAGAAGAAACACACAAUCGGCCACGUCAUCAAUUGACAACUUCCAAACUGAGCAUUCCUAUUGGUUCACACCUUUCCCUUUCAACUCGUCAAGCUUAUCUCCUCCCACUCCUCCAUCGUUCACUCCCCCUUCCCCUUCCUCUCUCCCUCCCUCCCUCCGCUCCAGCAGUGGCAGCCCGACCUGCCUCCUAGGACGGUGGUGUGCGGGGCUCGGGCAUCCCUGGCCUCUAGUGGCGUGGCAGGGCGGCCUCCAGCAGCGAUGGCGGAACUCGGCCUCCGGUGGCGCACAGGCAGCGCAGCCUACCUGGUCAAAGGCGGCGCAACAGGGCGACCUCCCCAGCCUCCGGCGGCGCGCAGGGCAUCCAUGACCUCCCCGGCCUCCCUUGCCAGAGGUGGUGCGCGGGGCUGCGCCGACCUCCCCAACCAGAGGUGGCAAGGCCCCAGCUUACGGCGGCGCGUGGCUCCCCAGCUAGGGUGUGGUGGGGCGGCGGCAAGUCAGGCGUGGCCGCGUGGGGGUGGGGGGAGGGGGUUGGGCUGGGCGGAUUCAGAUAGUAUCCAUUUAACCAUCCGAAAUGUGGAUAUCCGUUUAACAAUCCGUUUAGCAAAACCGAAUUUGGAUACUUCCACUUAAGUAUCCAACUAGGAUUCGAAUGCGGAUGGUCCUACCAUAUUGUUAUUUCAGCGGAUACGAAUAUGGGAUAAUUCGAAUAACGACUUACCCAUCCCUGAUUAUAUCCGUGUAAAUAAAUAAUUGCGGCAGCAGGUUCCCGUCGCCACGCCCCCGUCAAACCAAACAAUUGCUUGCGCGACACCGUGUUACUAGAUCUUGUACAGUACUCCCUCCGUUGCAGUACUCCCUAAUGAAAGUUGAGAAUCGAUCGACAACCACGGCUAGUUGCUAUGCACUCGAUCAGAUGGUCCAGGCGCCCGCUGGUAAUCAGGUCGUGGUUCACGCGCAUCAGGCCAGCUAUGACGUUGCCAGCAGUGCUCAGUACACAAAUCUAGCUAUCAGUCGGAUCCAAUUGGGCAGGCAUUUGCACUGUGGUUGUGUUUGAACCUGUAGAUGUCGUUGUCAUUAUCAGGCACCAUACAUCCUCUCUCAGAGGGUGUUUCACCCCCUAAACUUUAGCCCCUCUCACAUCGAAUGUUUUAGAUACUAAUUAGGAAUAUUAAACAUAGAAAAUUUACUAAACCCAUUACAUGGAUGGAGGGUAAACGGCGAGACAAAUCUAUUAAAUCUAAUUAGUCCAUGAUUUGACAAUGUGCUGCUAUAGUAACUAUUUGCUAAUGAUGGAUUAAUUAGACUUAAUAGAUUUUUCUUGCUGUUUAGCCUCCGUCUGUGCAAUUAGUUUUAUAAUUAAUUCAUAUUUAGUCCUCCUAAUUAGUCUCCGAAUAUUUGAUGUGACACGGACUAAACUUUAGAUAGCACACCAGGGACCGACACCAUGCAUGCUGAUUUCAUAUCAUAAUUAAGGAAAGUGAUAUCAUAAUUAAGGAAAGUGGUAGCAUCCAAGAAAUCGAUCAUGUUUCUUCCCCCUUUGGCUUUCCUACUAGGAUUUGGAUAGCGGGCCUUCCUACUAGGAUUUGGAAUCCGCUAUCGCAUGACUAUCUUAAUUAUGUCCCAUAGUCCAAAACUCACAAAACAUCAAAAAUCCAUCGAGAAUAAAUUAAGUAAAAAACAUGCGCACACAGAUAAUAAUAAUAAUAAUCAUGUUUCAAUAAAAUUGCUAAGAUUAGAGAUAGUACAUAAACAUAUUAGAUUGUUCGUGACACAUAUCAUGGUGGAUAGUGUCUGUGUCCUUAUUACAAGCAGCGAUAGAUGCUUGUCACCACACACACGCACGCACAGAUGCACGACAUACAUAUAGUUGAGACCAACGGAUGGACGUCCCAUAGGGUGAAUAAUUUAUUGGAGAUAAAUAUUAACAUAACUUGGCCAUAGCUUGAAGCAUAGCAACAUAUGCUUAUGAAUGGCAUUCAUGCGGGUAGCAAUGCUAUCAUAUGCUUUUAGGCUUGUCCUUAGCUUCUUCCAUCUUAUAGCAAACACUGCCAUUUCUUCCAUCUUAGCAGCAACUGUCAAAUUAAUUGAGAUAUGGAAAUCCCAUUAGCGCAUGAGUUAAUUUUGCAGUGGAAAUAGAGUAGAAGAUGUCUUCAUAAUGUAAGUAAUAUGACUCUGACAUAGGGAGUGAAGUCAACAAAUUACAUUAACGGAAAUGCAUGGAAGGCCACGCAUAUGUAUUAGUCCGAUAUGCUACAAAGCUUGUAUGUACAUAUAAUAAAUUAAAUGCAUUGAAUAGAGUGAUUUUAGUGAAUUUACCUAAAUCGGAUUAAAAAACAUGGGAAACAACAAGUGUUCUUGUAGGGCUUUGUUUAGUUCCCAAAUUGGGAGUAGCAAAGUUUGCAUUUUACCAUAAAUGCGCAACUAUAGCAUGUAGCAUUUUGUUUGUAUUUGUGAAUUAUUAUCCAAACAUUGACUAAUUAGGCUCAAAAGAUUCAUCUCGCAAAGUACAACAAAACUGUGCAAUUAGUUUUUGAUUUCGUCUACAUUUAGUACUCCGUGCAUGUACCGCAAGUUUGAUGUGAUGGGGAAUCUUGCUUUUCAAUAGUGACAAAGUUGGGAUUUCGGGGGGAAGGCCUGUGUCGGAGCCACAUGCAAGAAUGGCUGACAUUGAGGCUCAGACAAAGCCCAAUGGCAACUGCUGACAUGCGAUUAAAUUUAGAUAUCCACAUCCAGCCAUUCACAUUUAUGAGAUAUGGACACGGUGCAAAUGGGUGGGGUCCUGAUAUGGAGGUGCGAAUGGCUGUCUACUUGUAUAGUGUAGCUCCAAUGUACGUAUAUGUAUCUUAUGCAUGUAUACAGUUGCACAAACUCUGAACCAACUCUUCAUAACAGGUCUUUGUUACCAAGUAACUUUACUUUUGCACGUUUCAGCCGAGAGGUAGAAGAGAAUAUUUUUGCAUUUUCCAUGUGCGUCAGUGGUAGAGAACUAGGAAUUAGUUCCGGAUGGUAGGGCACAAAUCUUCCAAACAACUAUCCGAAAUUAAGCAAUCGAGAUAAAGGGUGCCAUCUAUUCUCUCCGAAAAACACAGGUACCAAAAAGAAGAAGAGAAGAGGGAGGGCCUCCCGUUAAGGCCCGCUCGGGGUCUCCAUCCCACCACGCGCCCUCCCAACCCAAAGCCCAUCGUUUUCCCUCCGUCCCUCCCCUCUCCAUUGCCGCCGCCGCUCCCCUCAUCCGAGCUCGAUACGGGUGGUCGGCGGCCCCUCCUCUCCGCUCCCGCCCCCGGCCUCCCUUUGACCGCCGGGCGCCGGCAUCACUGCCGCGGCCAACCCCAGGGCGCAGCGCGUGCCUCUAUUUCUCUCCCCCGUUCAAGGGCCCUUUGAUGGCGACGAGCACCCACCCACCAGGUAUGCCCUCCCCUUCUCUUCCUAACCCUAAUAUAUUCGGAUCUCACCCAGUCACAAUAUAUUACCUAAUAGCUUCGAUUUUGUUUGCAAAAAUCAUCACGUGCGCACCCAUGUCCGCUAGAUUCUUGCGCCUGAUCCUGUGCUGCUAUGGUUUGGGCGGGGUAGACUAGUUGAUUCGUGCACUUUUGGGUGCUUGUAGUGCUAGGUUUUGGAGGGGGAUAGCCCAGUUGAUUCCUCCGUUUUGGGUGCUCAUGGUGAUAGGAUUUGGAUGGGGAUAGCCCCAAUGAUUCGUGCGCCUUUGGGUGCUGGGGAUAGUUUUGGGUGCCUGGAUAGUCCAGUUUCAAUGUCAGUAUAUGCGUAUUUUGGGGAGAAUUUUGUUUUGGGUGGUUCUGGUGCUAGAGUUUCUGAUGCUUAGUAGCCCAGUUUCAAUCAAAUUCCCCCAUGGGUCGUGCACUACGGGAAACAAGAAAAUUGCCGAGUGUAUUUUUUUUGUCGAGUGUUUUUUUUCGAGCACUCAGCAAACAAGCUCUUCGCCGAGUGCCAAGUCAAAAACACUCGGCAAAAAAAAACACUCGGCAAAUCGGGGCUUUGCCGAGUGUCAAAUAAAAAACACUCGGCAAAGAAGGGGGUUUGCCGAGUGUUAAAAAAAACACUCGGCAAACAGGAGGGUUUGCCUAGUGUUUUUUUGACACUCGGCAAAAAAAUAAUUGUUUUUCCUCUUUUCACCUUGAAAUUUUUUCUACUCCCCACAUACAACACGUGGUACUCCAUGUUAAAAUUUGGUAUAUUUUUGGAUUUAUUUGCUAUAUUUAUUUAAUUAAUUGCAUUACAAGGAAAUUUUUGGUAUAAGUCAAAUUUGAACUGCAAGUGAUUCAAAUUGUGGAACAAAAUGAGUAGAAAAAUGAUAUUCAUGUUAUUUGGCUCAAUUUGAGACCUGACCCAUGAAAUGAAAAGAAAUUUCGAACAUCUUGUUCAGGAAACACGACAAUGAACAUGUGGCGGUAGUAUUUUUAAAUUGUAAAAAAAACAAGCAAAGUCUGAAAAUCAUGAGAUUUGUAGUUAUGUGAUGAUAUAAUACGUGGAAGCUGUGGAAAAAAAUUGGAAAGGUUUUGCACAUUUCAUCAUGUACGAUGAUUACAAACCGAAGCAUAUCAGAAGAAGAAUAGUAACUUUGAGAAGGAUUCGAUAAAAUUUAGAGUCGAAGUGACGGUCGAGUUCGGUUUGACUACAAAACUUUUUGUAUAGUCAGUAGAGAACAUAUCUUAUUUCGUGUGAAAAUUUGGUAUUUUUUGAAACUGUUGGAUAUUUUUAAUUUUUUUUUAAAAAAACUUUGCCGAGUGUCCUAGGGUAGACACUCGGCAAAGAAAAACUUUACCGAGUGCCCGCCUAGGACACUCAGCGAACCUUUUUUUAAACCUACCGGCUCCGGCCGGCCCAGCCCACAAACACCACCCGCCCCCCGCCCCCGCGCCUUCUUCCUCACGCCGCCCCCGCCCCCCACCCGUGCCUCCGGACCGCCCCCUCCUCCCCCUGGCCUCCCCUCACGCCGCCCCCCUCCUCCCCUAGCUCCCUCCACCGGCGGCCCUCCCUCCCCCGGCGCACAUCCUCCACUCCUCCUCCCCUUCCCUUCCCUCCCCUCCCCUCCCCUCUUCCUCCCCUGGCCGGAUCUGGCGCCCCUAGCUCCCCUUUCUUCCGCGGCCAGAUCUGGCGCCCUCCCGGCGGCGGGUCGUGGCGAUCGGGGCGGCGGCGGCGGAUCAGGCCGCGGGGCGGCGGCGGCGGCGGGUCGUGGCUACCGGGGCGGCGCCCUGCCCCUCCCCUCCCUCUCCAUCUCCGGCUGCCGUCCACCCCCUCCCCGGAUCCGCCCCCCUCCCCUCCGCGCGGCCAGCCCCUCCUCCCUCUCCGGCCGCCGCCCCGGCCCCUCCUCUCCCUUUCUCCGGCCACCGCCCCGCCCAUCUUCUCUGGAUCCGGCCGGAUCCGGCCGCCGCACAGCCCCUCCUCCCCGGAUCCGGUGGGCGCGGACUUCGUGGUGGUGGCGCCGGAUCCCUCCCCUCCCUCUCCAGAUAACUCCCUCCACUCCUCCGCUCUUCCCCUCUCUCGCGCGGCGGCCUCUCUCCGGCCGCCGCCCCGCCCCUCUCCCCGGAUCCGGGGGGGGGGGGACUCCGCCCCUCUGCCCCGGAUCCAGCUCCCCGACCCGCGAGUGGGGCGAGCUUGCUCAUGCGGUCGACGUCGAGGCCAGGGUGUGGUGGAGGUGGUGGCCGGCGGGUGUGGUGGUGGUGGCGGCGGCGGGCAUGGCGGCGCGGAGGCAAGGCACGGCGGCCGGUGGGAGGCACGGGUGCAAGGCGUCGACGGCAGGAGGCAAGGCACGGCAGCAUGGGAGGUGGUGCUGUGGUGGUGGUGCUGGCGGUGGUGGCGGCGGCGGAGCAGGAUGUGGUGGUGGCGGAGGAUGUUUUUUUUUCAAAAAUUUGUUGCCGAGUGUUUUCUCGGCACUCGGCAAAGACUUUACCGAGUGCCCGACACAAAACACUCGGCAACUCAGUGUUUGCCGACUGAAAAAUUGCCGUGUGCCGUUUGCCGAGUGUUACACUCGGCAAACGGUUCGCCGAGGGUUUUUUGCCCUUCGCCGAGUGCCCCUAGCACUCGGCAAUUUCACUAUCUCCCGUAGUGGUGGCUGGACUUAUGGGGGGAUCAUUGAUGGGGGACUAGUUGGAUACUUUUUGGCUGUUUUGGGAGUCCUUGGCAGCGGCUUCUCAGGGCGUACGUAGCCCAUUGUAGAUUCCAGCCGAGAAGAUUAAGGAAUUGUGACUGCAACCAUGUUACUUUUCUAGGACUCUGUUUCUGAUAUUGUUCCCGCUGCAUCUUUUCAUCCCCAUGGUGAAUGUUGCUGUUGAUCUGUAGAUUGGAUUUGUUCCUCGGUAGCUUUAUUAGAUUUGUGCUGAAUGAUAAUCUCUGCCUGUGAUAUUUUUCUUCAUUGCGGAUGUGUGCCGAGUAUUAUCCCCUUUGUUCAUUCUGUUGGCUUUUUUUAUUGUCUCUGUACUCGGCUGUUCAGCUUGUGCAGCUAAUGAUCUAAUGUAUUUUGUCGUAACUAUGUAUUUUUCGGAUGUGUGCCGAGUAUUAUCCCCUUUGUUUAUUCUGUUGGCUUGCUUUCAUUGAUCUUAAGAUAACUGGUGCUAUAAAUUCACACUAGCUGAUGCACUUGCAAAUAGCUAUGUAAAUAUGAAAAGAAGUAUUUUUUUAUCCUUUUGUUUGUUUGGCAUCAUAUCUGUUUAAAUGGCAUAGCAAUAAGAAUUUUUUGUUUUUGGGGAAUCAUAUCUGCUUAAAUGGUAUAGAAAAUGCUGAGUGCACUGUCAAAUAGAUUUUCCAGCAGUCUGCUUUCAGUUGUUUUUGCAAAUCCUCACAGGCCAGUGAACUGACUUUGUUUUUACCACCCCAUGCCAUUUAAAUGACUAAAUCAGUCAGCCUAAUACUAUAUAUGGUCAUGCUAUGAUCUUAUUUCUUGAAGCUCUAUAGGUCAACCCAUAAGGGUAACUUAGUUUUUCCUAUUCUGGCUGGGGAAGUGGAUACGAUGGCUAUCCUUGGUAGAGUUAAAUACAUUGGCGGCUCUUAGCGCGCCAAUGUGGCACCACAAUAUCGAACAUAUGUAGAAACCCCCUUGUUUUUUCUCAUAUCCCUCUCUCUCAGCGUCCUCUUCUCUUCUUCUCCUCUGUCUCCUCCCCUCCCAUCGCGUGCUUUAUUGCGCCGCCGCCAUCCGCCUCCAUGUAUGAACACGUCGUUUGUCAUGAAGAAGCAGUUGAUGAGGCAAUCAAGCAUGUGGUGCACAAGGUUCUUCUGCUGGCCAAGUCCGAGUCGAACAGCCGCGCAUUCAUUGGGGAAGCACGCGCCAGGCAUCACCAGGCUCCUCGUGCCCCUACUCUGCUCCAAGGACUCGGUGCUUCGACGCGCUGCUUUCCCUGUCCGGCGAGCGGGGAUCGUUGGGAGAUGAUCGAUGGAGGAUGGAGCUGAUCCUCCUGUACACGGUGCCGGUGGGGAGCAGGGAGCUGCGGAGCAGGUCCACGGGCGGCGCCAUUACAGCAGGUGCAGGCUAAGGGUAAUGAGCAGAUCGAGGCGAUGGAGGAGGACCCGCACGAGGUGCAGCUUCUUCGCCUCCUGCGCAAAGUCAGCGCCCAAGCAGCCGCUGAGGGACAGGCCGAGGCUUAGCUCGAUCUCAUCCGACUAAAUGGUGGCUGCACUCCCACAGUCCCACUGGUGCUCCUCCCUUCUGUCCGAACCUGCCGAGGAAAUCCCUCGAUGCCAUGGGUCCCGGCUGGACGACUACUCCUCCCACAGAUUGACUGAGGAAGAAGAGCUUCUCAGUGUCCAAAAAUUCAGUUACACUGGAAACAGCAACCAAUUACGUUCUUCCGGCUCAGCCAAGCCCCAAUCUCCUUGCUUCUGUGCGCCCCUGCUAAAUAUUCCAGAAACCAAUCUGGUUAGUUGUUUUUUCACAUUUUCAGUGCAUGCCGGUGCUGCUGUGUGCGGCAUGCAUGGAGUUGUCGUGGGAGUGCACGGUGGCUUAGCUGGUGCGCCAGUGCGCGGGCACGAACACAACGGUGAAGAUGGCAGGGCCAUCUCAAAGCUCCUGAGCACCUGCACGCGUCGCUGAGCAGGACAUGCUGCGACGGUGGGCGAGCGCUGCUAACGCCCUGGGGAAGAGCAGUGGGUGCAGAGAGAGGGAGCGAGGGAGAGGGGUUCUUGUAUAUGUUUGCUAGCGUGGCACCGUUUACGGUGCCCGCCUAAGUGGCAUUCACGUGUCAUUCAUCCCAAAUGGUGUUGCAAGGUUGAACCUAUUGUGGGAGGCUUUUGGUUUCCCUUGACAGUAUCACCAGUGAUAUCACUGCGUUCUGGUUAUGUAUGAAACACUUGUCCUUUUAAAACCUUUCUGAAUUUAGAAACGAAUUUGAAACAUUACCCUCAUUUCCAUGUUUUUCUAUCUUUUGUCCCUGUAAAAUCAAACUAAAUUUGAAUUAUUAUGUUCAGAACUACAAGCUGAUUUACUUGUCCCAUUUGCUAAUAACAGGGCCUUGUGAUUUCUAAUGAACAUUGCAGAGCAUGUUAUAAAGCGUAUGCAUGAACACCAAGGGGAUGAAACCAUUGGUAUAUUUCUCACAACCUUUUGAACUUAUCAUUUAGCAUAUUUGUGUUCUAGUGUGACGUUUCAGCCACGAGACAUGAGAAAUGUUAGCUAUGGAUUUUGGUUAUUCAUCAUGGGUUCACAGAUUUGUUUUUCUCUAAAAGAAUUGGGAAGUAGCUUUCUUUCUGGGUAUAUGUGGGGAAAUGCAUAUGCAAUCUUUUAUUUAUUGAGGUGACUGUAAAAUUCUUGUCUGACUGAAUAUGCGAUUUCAACCUACAUGCUAUACUUAGGGAAAUUUGUGAAUCUCCUAAUGUCUGCUGCAUGGCAUGAAUGCAUAUUUUACUGGUCCAUAAUGUGAAGUUCUGUAUAUAAACUUCUCGUGUUGACCCUUUAGAACAUGCUAACUGGAGAGUUUUCUAGAGUAGUUAAACAAGAGAUUUAGUUAAAUCUGCACACAUAGGUGGGGCCUGGCAUACCCUAAGAAUCGGCCUAGCCGGUCAGCCCAUUAGUAAAAAAAAAAGCACCGCAGUCAGCAGUCCCCACGUUGGUCUUCCUCGAGUCGCGACUCGCGAAGCUCCCAUCCUCCGAGUCCAAGAUGGUGGACUGUGUCGAGCGCGGGGCGGGCGAUUAGUUGCCCGGCCGCCGGCGGGGGAUGGCCGGACGGCCAGAUCGCCGACUCCUCUAGUCCUCCCUCCAGCCUCUGCGCUUCUUUCACAGUGGAGCUAGCGGCGAGGCGCCCGACCGACACCCUUCUUCCCAAAUCCCGGCAGCCCUACCUCGAUUUGGCCUCCUCCGAUCAUUUGAUAAUCAAUUUGAUGAAAUUAAUAUGGAGUUGCUUUCUUGUAUGGUUGCCUUCAAUCCUGCUAAUUCAUUUGCUUCAUUUGAUGCACAAAAGAUACAUAGACUUGCUAUAUUUUUAUCCACAAGACAUCACAAGCACGGAUUUGCUAAAACUUGAAUUCCAGCUCGAUAUUAUAUUGAUGAUGUGAGAUAGGAUGAUAGUUUCAAAGGCCUACAAGAUCUUGUUAACUGAGACUCAGUUAAGCUUGUUGAAACAAACAGGCAUAAUAUUUAUGACUUGGUUUACUUGCUUCUCAAAUUGGUAUUGGUUCUUCUUGUGGCGACAGCUAGUGUUGAAAGGGAUUUUUGUGCAAUGACUUUGAUCAAGAGUAAGCUAAGAAAUAAGAUGGGUGAUAGUCUUUUGGAUGAUUGUCUUAUCACAUUCAUUGAGAAAGAUAUUUUCUUUGAAGUGGAUGAAGAAGAUAUAAUUAAGACUUCAUAUCCAUUAGAAAUCGUAGGCUGGAGAAGAAGUAAUAUUUUAAUUUUCUUUGAACGUUAGGUCUGUAAGCUUCUUUUAAACUAUCUACAUUAUAAUUUAUGGACCUUUUAAUUUAACCGUUGAAUUCAUGAUAUUAUGAGAUUUUUUUAUCUAUGUUAUUAUUGUUUACCGAUUUAUUACCAAAUUAUUAGUUUGAUCUUACAAUAUUGUAUUUUGGAUGAUUGGCUCGGCAUACUCUAAGUUUAAAUCCUAGCUCCGCCACUGUUUGCACAUUAAUGUGGCUUAUAUGUGUGGAGUCACUUAACCUAUGCACUUGGACCUCCACUCCCUUAGGUUUUAUGAACCUAAUUUGACAGCCUGCUCGUCUUUUAUUUUCUACCAAUCAGCUAGGAACGAACAUGGUGAUGUUUGCAUCUCUGCCAUCAAUGGCUUACAUGUCAUUAUGUAUCACAUUAGCAAGUCUUGUUUUGUUAUUGGCUGGGAUGACGGGGACUCUAGCUGGAAUUGAAUCAAAGUGGUAGAUCACAGGGUAUUCAUUGCCAUGUAUUUCUGCAGUUGCAUGGACUUGCAUCAAACGGACCUUCCUACUUAUGUGAUUGUCCUAUAUGAUCUCCUUUGAUUUCAUUUGCACACUGUAAUCACAUUAGCUAGAACACUCGCUUUUUGCUUCAAAUUUGAAAUUCAUAUCAUGAUGGACUAGAACGCUGAAUUUCUUGAUUGCUGAGUUACUAAUCACAUUGUGGCGCUGCCAAAGAAGCUGGACUCUUCAUUGUUGUUGCCUUGUGGGCUGCCGUGUGCAAAGAACAAGAGCGCACGGUAUUAUAAUAGCAGAGCAGAACACAGACAAGCGACAAGGAGCGGAGCAGAGCAGAGCACAGCCAGGCACAAGCAGUAGAGUAGAGCAGAGCAACCGGGAGAGGAGAGGGCACAUAUGCAGAGUAGAGCAGAGCCAAGCGCAAGCAUUCAUGCACUCAAGCAUGCAGCAGAGGUGUAGCAAGGCAAGCACAAGCAGCAGAGCAGAGGGAAGGGAAGGCUGGGAGAUGAAUAGGCGAAUAGUUACCUGGACAGAGCAGAGGGAAUGGAGAUGAUGCAGAUGCUUCCGGAGACUCGAGAUUUGGAGAGGAACAAGGCCACGUUGUGAACAAGGUCUCCUUUCUCUUCUCUAUUUCCCGCGCAAGUACUUGUGCAUAGUGGCUGCCUCAUCCUCCAGGACGUCCACUUCAACCUGAGGCGGGUGCCACAGACAUCCUGGCUAUGCGACGGCUACCCCCAGCACACCCCCGGCGCCUAUGAACCAUGAUCCUAAUACUAUAAAUUGUCAACCUUGUAAUCUUAUUUCAAGCAUGCUCUCUAUGUCAACCUGUAAGGUUAACUUCGUUUUUCCUUUUCUGGGUAGGGGAGUGGAUAUUGCUGUUAUUUAUAUUAUGUUGAUAUUGGUUUCCACAUGUCAUUCACCCCAAAUGUGUUGCAAGGUUGAACCUAUCAUCGGAGGAAUUUUUUUCCCUUUACCUUUAUAUCACUACGCUCUGGUUAUGUAUGAAACACUUGUCUUCUUAAAAACCUUAAUUUAGAAACAAAUUUGAAACACUAUCUUCAUUUACAUCCUGUAUGUGUUUUCUACCUUUUGUCCUAUAUGAUCUGCUUUGAUUUGAUUUGUGCAUAGUUUUUUCAAUUCAGACCUGGUGAUUUCUGAGGUUCAUGUUGUGCUGAUAAGCAGCCUACUAUUCAGUAACACUUUCAUGUGGCAUGUUCAUGUUAGCUAGCUAGAAACACUGCUUUUAGCUUCAAAAUUCAAAUUCAUGACAUGAUGGACAUUGACAAUGAAUUUCUUGAUUGCCGAGCUAUGUACACUGUAAUUCAGACCUGGUGCUUUUAGUUUUUUUCUUGAUUGCCGAGCUAGAAACACUGUGCUUUUAGUUUUUUCAAUUCAGACCUGGUGAUUUCGGUUUUUUCAAUUCAGACCUGGUGAUUUCUGAGGUUCACGUGUCACACCGAUUUUAAGAACAAAAUCGAGUGCAUUAAAUAUACAUGUACGCUAGGAUCAGGUUACACACAUGUACGACAUAAGCGAAUAUCAAAGACAAUGCCAUAACGAAAUAAAGAGAGUAUUAAUCAUUAUUACAUGACCGAAAGUCUCAAAUAAACCACAAAAUCUAUUUAUUACAUAGCGGAACUUCUAAGAUAGCAACGUCUCCACAGGCAGCUGACUGAAGAACUGUAUGCCUAGAACUCUUCAAAAUCGUGCAGGUACUCCUCCAGAUUAGCUUGGUAUGAACAACGGUUUUGCAAGGGUGAGUACACUUAUGGUUGGUACUUAAUAAGUCGUGGGAAACAAUGUAGUGUAAGGCAAAUCAAGGUAUGGCUAAGGCUUAAACAGCAUCAGCUUUUAAUUUAGUUGGUCAAAUUUUAUUAGCAAUUAAUUAGACGUAAAUUUAUACCACCCGAAAUUAAACAAGAACAUGAAUAAAAUAAUAACAUAACCAUAAAUGAAAUGACAACAAUUUAAAUCCAUCUUUUCAUAGCAUUAUCAUGUGAGGGUCCAGUCCGUUCUUAACCGUGAGCACCGCUGAUCGAUCAGUUUUACACUCUGCAGAGGUUGUACAUCUUUACCCACAAGUCGCGUAAAAGUUCAAAAGAAUUUUGGACCCAACCAUGCGGUAUUUGCAAGGCACCAUACCACACUUCCAAGGUGUGAUUGCAUAUGAACGCUACGAGGCCUUUACAAAGAUUCAUUAGUAAGUGGUAACCCGCUAAGGUUUCGGUAUUUGGCGUGCACAACCUAUCACAGGCCGCUAAUGCAACGACUCAGUCCCCCCUCUUGCCUCAUCACGAGUAAGAUUACCCCAGACUAAGGUUUCUAAUUAUUCAGCCAAGAUCAGAACCAUUUAGUCUUGUGGUAGCACUGUUUUCCUGGGUGGUUCUCCAUGUUCCGAUUAAACAUAAUGGUCUUGUAUUAAUGGAAGGUAUAACAUAAAUAAUACCAAAUUAAUAAUAAUUCAGAUUAAAUCACCAUAACCAUAUUUGAGCACUAAGCAUGAGCUACCCAACAUAAAUUUAACCCGGUUGGUCAAGGCAAGGUAGAUAAAGUCUAGGAAAUUCUUAAUUGGGACCCAUCAAGUUUAAAUUAUACUUUGCAUGGUAUGUUGCAUAGAACAUGAAAGUAAAUGUGAAUAGGACUGAAAAGGAGUGAUUAGGGACACGACUUGCCUUUUUAACCUUGUUCUUGCUGUUCGUACUCUUCGAAAACUUUGAUCUUCAAAUCCCUUGAACUGCUGACCGUCUACACGCGUCACACGACCACAUACAAGCAAACAAAUAUAAUACAUAAGAAAACAGUACACCAAUCAUAAUUAAAUAGAAGAAACAAAUUUGAAAAGCUAUUCUACGCAUUAAAACGAAAACACGGAUACAAGGAACGUUAAAAACGGAGCUACAGUGCAAAAACUACGCUUAAAACAAGAUGCAGGGGUAUAACUACGAGAAACCAAACUUCCAGGGAUUUAAUUUUAAAUAAUUUUGAACUGCAGAAGGGGCAGCAGGGCAAAACGUAGAAAAUGCAGGGGCUUAAGCGCAAAAGCAUGGCUGCUGACUCAGCUGACUUGAUGUGGAUCGUCGGAUGGCGAUCCGGCGGCCGGCAGCUGCUGCGCUGACGUCAGCGACGGCGAGCGCCGGCGAAAAACGGCAGUUCGCCGGAAUCGCCCGGGAACGCGCGACUGGGUGCAGAUUUGAGCGAGGAUUAGACUAGCAGAUAGAAACGAGCGCAGUGAACUCAUUUGGGAUGCCUACGGCGAGGACUUGGCGACGGCAUCGGCUCCGGCGAGAACUUGCGGCAGGGAAACCAAAUAAAAUAAAAUAACACGGUUCAGAGAAGCGGCGCUGGAGGAACGCGAGCGAUUUUGCGUGCGAGCGGAAGAAAACACUGCGAGGAAGAUGACUGCGGGCCCUGCUUGUCUGCGGCAGGAGGAGAGCUGCGUGCGAGAAGAACCUGGCCACGAUCUGGGCCGUUGCCUUCGAUCUGGGCCGAGGCAAGCUAGCUGGCCCGCUGCUGCGGAAAGGUGCUGGGCCACGGGCGGAGCACAGCGUCGGGCCAGAAAGGAGAUGGCUGCUGCGAGGAAACAAAAGAAAAUGAACUGGGCUGCGACAGAGGAAAACUGGGCGUCGGCCAGAAAGAAGCUGCGUGCAGCUUGCUCUUGUUUCCGAACUAGAAACAGGAACUGACGGAAAGACAGAAAUCAAUUGGAGACUGAAACUGACGCCCCAGACUCUGAACUUCGAAAAAACAGGACAACCAGCCAACUGACAGAAAAAAAAAAGCUUAACAACCCAAAAGCAGUACACAACCACGAAACCAGGCCACAAGACUGAAAAAGCUUGAUAGGAACAUCUGGCGACUGAACCAAAAAACUACAGAACUGCAACUGAAGAACUAGAGAACAGAUAAAUAACUGAUUGAACUCUGAAACUGAAACACCAAAGAGCAGGAAGCUGACUGACGGAAAAUGCAAAACAGCAACCCAAGGUGAAACACAAAUUCUUCUUCAAGCAUUCAAACAAAGAGAUAUGCAACAGCAUGAAUGCUCAAUAAAAUCCUAUAUUUCAUUAAUUAAUUAGAAAAAAUGCUCAAAUGCCUAGAAAAAUGCAAAAGUGACCUUAUAUGCCUUAAACAAGCAAAUUCGUUUCUAGCGAUUUUUGGUAAAAUGCAAAAUUAGAGAUUUUGGGUGUUACAUCAUGUUGUGCUGAUAAGCAGCCUACUAUUCAGUAACACUUUCAUGUGGCAUGUUCAUGUUAGCUAGCUAGAAACACUGUGCUUUUAGCUUCAAAAUUAAAUUCAUGACAUGAUGGACAUUGACAAUGAAUUUCUUGAUUGCCGAGCUAUGUACACUGUAAUCACAUUGUGGGGCUGAUAAAAUAAGCAGCGUUGAGACACAUAACAAUUGAAUCUUAAGCUUCACACAGAAUCUGGACCAGUCAUCCUCAUUCCUGUCAUGCUGGAAAUGUCUUUGAUACAUUUCAAUCACAGGCAAUUGAAUUCGUACUGGGGAGGAUGGCAAUGGUGCAUGAAGAGAGAUCAAUGUGGCAAAUCUCACAUUGUUCAUUACCAGGUAUCUCCGAUUUCUGGUUAUUUUAAAUUUACCUUGACAUGUGACUUAUUGAGGUAUUGUAUUUCAUCUAAUGGUAGUUCUGAAUUUAUGGUAACCUUGGAUGGGGUUUGUCACUUUAUACACGCACGGACUUACAAAGGACAGCAAAUGAGUAUAUUUAGAGGGCUCCUGUCCAACCAUGGACUAUACUUAUGUACCCUUUUUUGACAUGGUAAUUUGAGGUUAAUGGAAAAGUAGCGAUAGUCGCCUCCAGCGAAGCUACCUUCUUCGAAAGCUCCGAGGCUGCUUUCUCGCUCUUAGCAAGCCGAUCCCUCGUAAUCAUCGAAGAGUAAGAGACCUACAGAUUUUAAAAACCAAGUUACCAAAAAUAACGAAGUAAAAGACAACACUCGCAAGACAAACCACCAAACUAUCUCAUAAUUGUACCUUCUUUACGAGGUUCGCCUCCAAGUUAAAGAGCUCUUCCAAGAUCAUUGACUUCACAGCUUGCUGAAAAUCUAUGCGCCAAAGGAUAUAGUCGUAAGCAUAAAAUAAAAAUUGGUAAAAACCAAGGACAGCAAAGCCAUCUACAAGCUGUUCUUACCCUCAUACUUUCGCACCUCAACGGCGAUCGGAACAACCUUCUCUCUAGCCUCGCCCUUAGACGCCACCACAAUCUUCCCGCCACACAAAUCCACAACCCCUCCUUUACCUUUGCCCUCUCCCGAAGUCGUCGUGCCCGCCUUCUCCACCCUUUUUGAACCGCCAACAUCUGCAUAGCGCUCGCAACCUUCACCUUCAGCCCCCCAGACCAAAGACAGGUUGUGAGGAUUAUAAACCCUACCUUCGGCGCAUGUAGCUAGAAUCUCCGUGCGCCCGCUCAAGCCCAGACACUCAUUCAGUCCCUGAAGCCCCGCCGGCAACCUCUCACCUACAUCAUAACAUUCAACUUUUAGCCUCACAUGAUCCUCACAACUAACCUUACCAACGCCCCCCAUAGUUUCUUCCAAGUCCUUCAAAAAUUUCGUUGAGGCCUCACCACAAUCAAAGAACCGUAGCAUCGAUAGAAACACCUCUACAUGCUUACCAGAUCUCACAGCUUCGGCACACCCACCCUUUGGAUCAGAUGAGAACGCAUCCACAAGCUUCGCCUUUUCGGUGGCAAACCCCCUCUCAAGUUUCCCAACAUCAGUCAAGAGAUGUUGCGCGCUCUUAAACUUCGAGCUUAUGGAAGGCACCGUGAUCUUGGUACCAGCUGCCGAAGACGCGUCAACCUUGGCACCCGUAACAGUAACAGGAGCAAAUCGAGGUUUCUUGGCGCCUCUUUUGAUCCGUGCGGCGGGCCCGGUGGAUGAAGGUGCAAGAGCUGGAACCUCCUUAGGAGGGCGCAUAGAGACAGGAACAACAUAUGCCGGAUUGCUCAAGUCGCCAGACGAAGCUGUCGACCACGAUGGCAACAUAGCAGACGAAGCCCCCGCGGUCAUUUCCUUCCUUUUUUGCGCCUCCAAAUUCAAGGUCUUUUGCUUCGCCUUAGCGGUCACUUGCAAUUCAAUAGUGAGCUUCACCAUGGGUACGAAGUCAAAUUUUGCCUUUUUCCUCUGCUCAAGACUAGCACCGCGACGGCGCCUCUUGCCCGUAACUUUGGGGUGAGGCAGAACCACAAUAUCAUACAAGUCAAAAAUCUAAGAUGAUGACAUUCCAUUUGUAUCCAUGAUUUAUAUUGUGUUCCUUGAAUAUCCAUUAAAGUCUACUUGAAUUGAUUUGCAAUUAUGUGAAUUGUAUGUGAAACUCUUUCCUUGUAUGGUUAUUCUAAAGUUGUCCCUAGUCGGAGUUCAUGUGAGGACACAUGAAUAUUAGACUAGCACAUGUAUUAGUUGAUGACUAUGUUUCACAAGUCAUGGACAUGAAGAUGUGGAACUAAUAAUGUGGGCACAUGUGGAGACACGUGCUAGGACUGACCCAACACGAGAAGUAGUUCUCUCUUUAUACAACAUAUACGCUUUGUCCUUAGACCUGAGAUUGUCGCAUGUACUCAAGAUGUGGAUCGACUUACUUAGGGGCUAUCAAAUUCUACGCCGUAACAGGGUAGUUAUAAAGGUAGCUUUCGGGUUUGUCAAGAAGCAUGCUAUGAGACAUGGUCAAUCAAGAUGGGAUUUGCCCCUCUCUGAUUGAGAGUGAUAUCUCUGGGCCCCUCGAGUGAUCGGAUCCGAAAAUGCAUGGCCAUGCUACAUACGAUUAAGAGUUAGCCUACAAAAGGAUUCCGAAUCAUAGGAUCGAGAAAGAGCGGUCGGCUUGAAGCUAGACCAAAUAUCGUGAGGCAAAGGGAAUAGCAUGUAUAUAAUGUUGUGAUGGUUCGUCUGAUAUGAUCUUCGUGUGCGUAUAGGAGUUGGCACGUCUUGCUAGAGGUCGCUACCGACUAUUGGGCCGAGUAGGAGUACUCAGGCCAUGUCUAUACGUAUCCGAACCCAUAGGGUCACACACUUAAGGGGCUGGAAGCCCAAUUCGGAUGUGAUCCGAAUUGGAUUAGGUUUAGAAGUACUAAUGGGCCUUGGACCUAGAGGCCCGUUAGGAACCUCUAUAAAUAGAGGGGUGGGGGCGCCCUAGGGUUUACACCUUUUUGGUGAAACACAUCUGCCGCGCCUCCCACGCCUUCGCCUGUUGCAACUCGCGGACCUAGCAGUCCGGCUUGCGACGCUUCCUCCCUGCACGUGUGGAUACCUUGGAAGUGUUGCUCCUGCAGCACUUGGACGAGCCGCCAACGAGCCACGACGAGCCACGAUGAGCCGACGAUGAGCCGCGGCACGAGGGGGAUCUUGCUGCACGUGGACGAGCUGCUGAGGAGCUGCUGGACGUCGAUGUGUUCGACUACGUACGACUACGCUGAUCGACUUCGCUGCAUCAACGCGAAUCUACAUCUUCCGCAUCAUUGCAUCGAGUGGUAAUCCCGUGAUCCUGAUACGGCAGUUUUCCUAGUUUACGCGGUAGAAAAUUUUGUUUUGUGCUAGUGUAGCCUAACUCAUAUCCCAACAACGUGUGCUAUAGGUCACGCAAGCCUGAAAAUGGCCACACCGGACACCGGGUACGAAAACAUGGGGGAUGGACCGAACAUUUGAAAAUGGCCUCCAUAUGUGUUUUCGGCUAUGAAAAUGUGUGUUAUAGGUCACAGAAGCUUGAAAACGGCCGCACCAGCCACUAGGGACGAAAACGUGGGGGAUGGACCAAAGACAUAAAAAAUAGCCUCCAGACGCGUGUUCGGCCAUGAAAACGUGUGGUAUAGGUCCUGGAAGGCCAAAAACAGCUACACCGGCCACCUGGGACGAAAAAGUUUGUGUAAGACCGAACACUUGAAAAUAGCCUCUGGACGCGUGUUCGGCUAUGAAAAGGUGUGUUAUAGGUCACACGAGCCCCAAAACAACCACAGCGAACACCAGCUACAAAAACAUGGGGGAUGGAUCGAAUAAUUGAAAAUGGCCUCCAGACGUUUGUUCGGCCAUGAAAUCGUGCGUUAUAGGUCGCGGGAGCCCGAAAACGGCCACACCGGCCACCGGGAAUGAAAAUGUGGGGGAUGGACCGAACAAUUAAAAAUGGCCUCCGGAUGUGUGUUCGGCCAUGAAAACGUAUGUUAUAGGUCACGGGAGCAUGAAAACGGCCGCACUGGCCACUGGGGACGAAACGUGGGGGAUGGACCGAAGACGUGAAAAUAGCCUCCAGACGCAUGUUCGGCCAUGAAAAUGUGUGCUAUAGGUCAUGCAAGGCCAAAAACAGCUGCACCAGCAACCGGGGACGAAACCAUGGCUGUCAAACCGAACGCUUGAAAAUCGCCUUCGGACGCGUGUUCGGAUAUGAAAACAUGUGUUGUAGGUCACGCGUGCCCGAAAACGUCCACAACGGACACCGGGUACAAAAACGUGGGGGAUGGAUCGAAUAACUGAAAAUGACCUCCGAACGCGUGUUCGGCCAUGAAAACGUGUGUUAUAGGUUGCGGGAGCCCAAAAAUGGCCACACCGGCCACCGAGGAUCAAAACGUGGGGGAUUGACCGAACAAUUAAAAAUGGCCUCCGAUUGUAUGUUCGGCCAUGAAAACGUGUGUUAUAGGUCAUGGGGGCCCAAAAAUGGCCGCACCAGCCACCAAGGACGAAAAUAUGGGAGAUGGACCAAAGACAUGAAAAUGGCCUCCAGAUGCAUGUUUGGACAAAAGUGUGUGCUAUAUGUCGUGCAAGGCCAAAAACAGCUACACCAGCCACCGGGACAAAAACGUGGGUGUUUGACUAAACAAGUGAAAAUGGCCUCCGGAAGCAUGUACGGCUAUGAAAAUGUGUGCUAUAGGUAAUGGAAGGCUAACAAAAGCUACACCGGCCACCGGGGACAAAAUCAUGGGUGUCAGACUGAACACUUCAAAAUGGCCUCCGGACGCGUGUCCGGCUAUCAAAACGUGUGUUAUAGGUCAUGCGAGCCCGAAAACAACCACACUGAACACCGGGUACAGAAACAUGGGGGAUGGACUGAAUAACUGAAAAUGGCCUCUAGACGCGUGUUCGGUCAUGAAAACAUGUGUUGUAGGAUGCGGGAGCCCGAAAACGGCCACACCGGCCACCAGGGCAUGGACCAAACAAUUGAAAAUGGCCUCCGGAUGUGUGUUCGGCCAUGAAAACGUGUGUUAUAGGUCACGGGAGCCCAAAAAUAGCCGCACCGACCACUGGGGAUGAAAUCGUGGGGGAUGGACCGAAGAUGUGAAAAUGGCCUCCAGAUGCGUGUUCGGCCAUGAAAACGUGCGCUAUAAGUCAUGUAAGGCUAAAAAUUGCUACACCGGGACUAAAGCAUCCCCCAUGAGUUACAAUAAAAGGAUUGUAUCCUCUACUCAGUCGGAUGUACUGUGUAGGUGAGAUGGUAAGGAAGCUAUGCGCGAGGUUUGAGGUUGUGGGUUGAAAUCCUACGCACCGCGCGCACACGCGCAUAUUUUGUGUGAAAAAUCAUGUGACUUGUGAUCGGCCAAGGAGAAGUGGGUGCAGCUGUGGCUUAAGUGGCUGAGGCACGCUGCCAUAGACAUCUCCGAUUUGCUCGAAGACUACCAAGACACUAGCAAUAACAAGAACUACUGCUCUUCCUAGCAGACUCUUUACAACCACUUUAAAGCUGUGCAUUUCUCAAUGUAAUUUCGUAGAAGGCAAUCGAUCCAACCAAGCGACUAAAUCAUUUGUUCUUGCCAAUGAUGUACAUCAGGUUUUCUAUAUGAAGGACAUGUCUAGCAAACCUAAGAUUUUAGAAGAAAAAGAAAAAUUAUGGGAGUCAAUAAUAAAUCAGGCCAAUCAGGAGAUUAUAGUAAGCUCGAUGGUAUGCCUCCAUUCGAUGUCGAAGUUGGCCCAAGCAUCAUGUUAGCCAAAGAUCAAAUGUUCGUGCAUUGCUACGGUAAAGAUCAAUUGUGUCUUUUAAACCCAUGGAAUUUUUUAUCUAUGUUUUUAUUACACUUAAUGGAUGUCUACACAUUUGCUAGAAAAUCAAAAUAAUUUUGACUUAAUUAUUUCUUUCAACUCAAAUACUCAUUAAAUUUCUACCUUUUUAUUUAAGCAAGAGAGUUGCUCAAAAAAUGGAUACGUAACCAUGUUGUAUCAUACAAAGCAACCACAUUUCACAUAUAGUCUGGCUUAGCAAACACCAUUGUUGUCUUAACAUAGUGUUCAUGAGUUAGUAGACAUGGAUCUAUUUCUAAUUGCAAGUAGUGCAGCGUACAACCAGCCUGCACCGCCGCAGCUCAAUAUGCGAUAAUUUUUUAUCUUCCCAUGUAAUUUUUCUACUCUAGUACAUAUUGAACUCCACAUAAAUGUCAUGUUCUUUCACGCCACAGACGGUUUCUAAAGUUUGGAACUAAAUAGAUAGCCAAAAAUUUUAAAAAAAUAUUUAUAUGGAUACAUGUAUGUUCUUUGCAAACUAACAAUAUUGUUUACAAUAUCAAAAGGAAUAUGGCUAUGAUCAUUGCCGCAUAUGGCAGGUGAUGGUAGAUGCCGUAUGGGGUUUCUUUAACUUAAUUGUAUAAUAAGCUGAAAUACAUUUUCUAUUUGCAAAUGAAUCAUAGCUGAAAGUGGUGGGAUUGUAGAACCGCCGGCCAUCGUGUCCUUGUAGGACCGCUGCACGAGCCUGUGAGCCACCAGCCACCAUGCGCCCAAGGGCCAUCACCACGCCAUAAGAGGAUGCUGUCUACCCGGUUUCGCGCGCCUGUGCUAGCUGCCUGAACCUGGGCCGCCGCCGGUCGCCUGCCCAGCCGCGCGUUGCGCCAGGGUUUUGCUGGUGACGACCAUGGCCUUCGCGAUCAAAUUAAAAAGUUAUCAACUGCAAAGUAUUAGGUCUCGUUGAGCUCUACAAUUUUGAUAUAAAGUUUCUAUUCAUCCGAGAUCAAAUAAAAAAUUUGAUACUCAAAGCAUAAAUCCAUUAAUCUAGUCUUGCUAAUCCUUACCACCAAAUAAAAAACUAGCAUGUGUUGUGUGUUUGUGACCCUAAACGAUCACAAAUGAAUAACUUAUGGGCCUUGCUAGCGCCCGGAUGUCCAGGCCGGGGCACUAGCAUCAGACCCACGAGUAGCCGUCCGAUCAGGUUCGACACCACUUCAGGAUCUGGCUUAAAAAGAAGUCCCACCGAAACAUUGUUCCAUGUUGCAUGAAGCAACCCACUACCGUCGCCAGGUCUAGAGCAAGCACCACCUUCAAAUGUGCUGCUCACCCUAGCUAAAUAGGGGCAUUAAAAUAUUUCUCGCAUAUCCUUCUCAAAUUAAACAAAAUCGCAACAUCUGAAAAUUUUUACAGAAAACCAUGAAACAUAUCGAUUAGAUAGAUGUAACAAGAUGGAAUAUGGUAUAUGCAACAUAUAGGUUCCGAAAAGCAGAUGAAAUAUUAUGUAAUGAUUCUUGAAACAGUCAAGAAAAAUAGAUGUAACAUCUAAAAUUAAGAAAAGAAGCUUUAUGCAAAUUGCAAAAAGCUGAAACAAGUGGUUGAAACAUUUCAAAUCACCAAAUGCCACAUUUGAAAUGACCAGAUGAAACAUCACGAAAUCAAUUGCAACAGUUGAAGAUGAAAACAUUCAAAUGCCUUGCCUUUCUCCAAAUUUGACCCUCCAAGCAUGAGUCCAGCCAUUUGCACAUUAGACCCUUGGGAGGAGCUCACCGGAGAACAACAAGACCGUGUUAUCCAACAAUUUUCAGAUCAAAUUGCAACAUAAAGAACAAAGCAUUGCAACAUCUGGCAUCACGAGCUACAACAGCAACCAGUUAGGAUCAGGAGAAAGAGGGCAAACACAAGCCUAACAAUGAGUUAUAUCCGGUUUAAACAAGGAUAAAAAUGAGUGUAUUUUACACUCAUCAUGUUGUCUUUUCGCAGCUGUACCGCCUUUAGCGUGUUGUAUUGUUCCUAACACCAAGUCUCCGAGGCCCGAAAAAAUAAGGAAAGUGGUAGCAGCUCAGAAAUCGACUAAGUUUCUUUCCCCCUUUGGCUUUCCUACUAGGAUUCGGAAUCCUCUUUCGUAUGACAAUCUUAAUGAUCUCCCAUAGUCCAAAACUCACAAAAACAUCAAAAAUCCACCGAGAAUAAAUUAAGUAAAAAAACAUGCACACACAGAUAAUAAUAGUAAUCAUGUUUCAUUAUGAUUGCUAAGGUCAGACACAAUACAUAAACAUAUUAGACUGAGUGACCCACCUCACCUCAGAGUAUGCACCAUGUCUGAGUGACCCACCUCACCUUGCCAGGACACUGGUCCUGCCCUCGUGGUUCACGCGCCCUCGUGGUUCAGCAGUGGUCAGUACACAAAUCUAGCUGCCAGUCGGAUCCAAGGGCAGGCAUUUGCAUUGUGGUUGUGUUUGAACAUGGAGAUGUCAUUAUUAUUGUCAGGCACCAUACAUCCUCUCUCAGUUUCACUCCGCCUCACACACGGAUAGCACACCAGGGACCCGACACCAUGCAUGCCGAUUUCAUAUUAUUAAUAUUUAAUUUUUUUAAUGGUUGUUGAAACUAUAUUGUUGAUAUUUUUAUACAUAAUUUACGACCUAAUUUGGAUAUAUUUUUGAAAUAUUCCGAAAUCUUAAAUUCACACGUCUAGAGAUACAGUUAGUCCAAUCUGAUGUUUCCGAUUAUAAAAAUGAACAUAAAGAGAUAGGAAGCGAGAGACGUGAGGGGGAAAGUUAAAUUAGGGCCUAAGGGGUGAAGUUAGGGUUCCAGGUGAGCUGUCAUCACUACGUGUUUUUAAUCGAAAUUGGAAUGUCAGCAAUCGUCAGAUCUUGAGCCAACAGUUGAGACUGCCUCGGAAUGGUAAUUAGGUCUGCGCGAGCUUGCAUUGUGGCCUUCCUUGAAACCUUGGACAUAGGUGUUAUAUUAUUAUGUUCUUGCCAGCACACAGCAGUGAAGGACGACACAGUUGAGAUGUGCAUCACAUUUUCUAUAUGAAGGAUAUGUUUAGCAAACCUAAGAUUUUAGAAUAAAAAGAAAAAUCAUGGGAGCCAAAGCGCCACAUAGUUCUUCCAGGUAAAAAAAAAUCAUCCACUGGACCAGCACAUAGUAACGAUCCAAAAAGUCCAUAUUAAGAUUUUUUGAUAGCAGAAAAAACAUAAAAUGUCUAAUAUUUGUAGUAUUAAAAGGAAAAAUAAUAUAUUCACGUGACCUUUUUCCCGUAGCAAGGCACCGGUACGUGGUCAGACUUAAUGCACGAUGCCUAAGCAUCCAUUGGGCCUACCCUCGUGUGGAUCACGCGCAACAGGACACGGCUCACAAGCUAUGAUGUGCAGCAGUCGCUCAGAUGGCUGAAAGGUACCCUUAAUUUGAAUGGUACCAUAUAUAUAUAUAUAUAUAUAUAUAUAGUAAACAAGACAAACCACCGUUGAUACUACUUUGCACUACUUGAUACAUAUAUCUCCACCAAAAGCGAGGCACGUGGGGAGGAGAGAUAUGUGGUUGAUGGUGCGGGCACGUGGCGAGUGCACCGUACGAAAAUUUUGCUCGUGUCGGACGACUGAUGUGAAGCAUUACCCAAUCUUAAUUAUCUCCCAUAAUCCAAAACUCACAAAAACAUCAAAAAUCCGCCGAGAAUAAAUUAAGUAAACCAUGCACACACAGAUAAUAAAAUUGCUAAUAAGGCCAGAGACAAUACAUAAACAUAUUAGACUGUUCAUGACACAUAUCACGGUGGAUAGUGUCUGUGUCCUUAUUACAAGCAAUGAGAGAUGCUUGUCACCACACACACGCGCACAGAUGCACAACAUACAUAUAGUUGAGACCAACAGAUGGAUCAACUAGAGGUCACCCCAUAUGGUGAACAAUUUAUUGGAGAUAAACAUUAACAUAACUUGGCCAUAGCUUGAAGCAUAGCAACAUAUGCCUAUGAACGGCGUUCAUGCUAUCAUUUUAGGCUUGUCCGCUUCUUCCAUCUUAGCAAGCACUUCCAUUUCUACCAUCUUAGAAGCAACUGUCAAAUUGAGAUAUGGAAAUCCCAUUAGCGCAUGAGUUAAUUUUGCAGUGAAAAUAGAGUACAAGAUAUCUUCAUGAUGUAAGUAACAUGCCUGAAGUUGUGAGAUGGGAAGUGAAGUCAACAAAUUACAUUAACGGAAAUGCAUGGAAGGCCACACAUACGUAUUAGUCCAUGAUAUGCUACAAAGCUUGUAUGUACAUAUAGCAAAUUAAAUGCAUUAAUUGAAUAGAGUGAGUUUAGUGAAUUUACCAGAAUCGUCCAGAAAACAUGGGAAACAGCAAGUGUUCUUGCAGACUGCGUCGGUGCCACCCACAGCAAUACAACCAAAACAACAUGCUUUUGCCCGAGCGGCUGCGCAGCAGCCGCACUCUGCCGCGGUGGCCGAGUUAGCAUUGAGGCUCAAGAUGACCAGGCACAUGAUCACCAUCAAAGCGGUGGUAGUCCUCUUUCCCUCCAUUGCCUCCUCUUGCUGCUACCUUCCUUGGUUACCUAGCUAAGUUUAUUGGUUUUGUGUUGAGAGGUGAUUCUUGCAUUGAAUGGACGUUGCCGCGGCUGCAAUUUAUAGGCAGCUGCGCUAUGUGAUGAUAUGGACAAGGUGCAAAUGGGUGGUCCUGAUAUGGAUAAGGUGCAUGCGAAUGGCUGUCUACUUGUAUAGUGGCGCUCCAAUGUACAUACGUAUGUAUCUUAUGCAUGUAUACAGUUGAUGGAUGUACAUGUUUGUUGCACAAAUUAUUCUGAACCAACUCUUCAUAACAGGUCUUUGUUACCAAGUAAUUUUACUUUUGCACGUUUCAGCCGAGAGGCAGAAGAGAAUAUUUUACAGAGAGGGCAGAGAAGGAGGUUGGCGGAGGCGCCGUGGUAGGGUUCCCCGUGUCGCCAAGAUUUUUGCAUUUUAGAUGUGUGUAUUGAUCACUUCGUCGUGCUCGCGGGGCCCAACUCCAGGUUGUACCCCAGCAGACCACGUUCUGUUUCUCUGCCUCCAAUGAGCAUGCAUGCCUCCACAAGGACCACAAGACUUAGUAAAAAAGCUAAACUUUGCAACACGAUGUAUACAGAACGUUUUGAAAUGUACUCUCGUUAGGCAUUCACCUCCUUAACAAUCACUGCGACUGUAAAAGAGGUACAUCGACGCUAGCUAAAUAAACCACUAUAAGAUUUAGCAAGAGAUCAUUUUAUACAAUCCUGUAACGAAACAAUUUGACAAUUAUAGUGUCCAUAUAUUUUGACAAAAAAACGUUUAAAUUAUAUAAGGAGGUGGGCCCGAAAACGGUUGGAUUACAUCGAGAACGUUUUGAAACAGUUGGCGGAGCAGGAUUCUGGCGUGGAGCAUCUACAUUGUCGCGCGCGCGGACUGCCGGAGUAGGCACGCUCGACUUGUCCCAUCGCCAGCUAAAUGAUUUAGUACCGGAUGGUCUCUAGUACCGGUUGGAGCUACCGUCCACCAGGAGCUUUUCUAGUUUGGAACUGGUACUAAUGCUAAUAUUAGUAUCAGGUCAAAAACAAUCGGUACUAAGGCUAGGGAUGACACGUCAUUUUUCUAGUAGUGUGUGCAAUUGGUUUUGUAAUUAGUCUAUAUUUAAUACUUCUAAUUAGUAUCUACACAUUUUAUGUGACAGGGACUGAACUUUAGUCCGUGGAACCAAACACCCCAUAAGUAUGUUUGGUGCUGUAAGGAUUUCGGUUUUAUUUAAUUUCCUAGGCAUUUAAAUUUCUUUCUAAAAUAAGUUAAUGAAUCAUAGGAUCUCAUUGUUGUAUUCAAGCUGGUGCAUUGAUUUUGCCUAUAAAACCCGCCGCGGUCUUCGCAGCCCCCAUCAAACCCUAGCGCCCUUGCCACAAGCUCAGCACCGCUGCCGCCCGAGCUCGAGCACUAGCACCCACCCAUCGCCGUUGCCUUCCCGUCGAUGGGAUCACCGCCCGGAGCUUCGCAUCGUGGUAAGGAAGCCGCCCGUGAAGAUCCCAUGUGCUCCUAUGCCCUCUACCGCGUCCCCGAGUUCCCGGAGUUGCUAGUCUCCCACCGAGCCGACUCUCCGAGCUUCACGUCACUGGUGCCGCUCCGAAGACCUAGUUCGGUUCGCCAUGCACCUCGCUUCAUCCUGAGCUAAACCCCAUAAUGAAUGGUGGUCGGAUGCUCGCCGCCACGGCGCGUCGUCUUUUCUGUCGCCCGUGCAUUGCCUAUCCCCUUCCAGCCGAUUGCAGCUGUCCGAUCGCAAACCGGUGGCCCUGAUCGGAUACCAAGGUCAAUACCGGUCGAACCGAGCCGUGCGCUGCUUUUGCAAGAAGGCCCCUGUUUUUCUCUCUUUUUGCACCUGAGGUCCUACGCAGUUCAAAAGUAAUAAGAUCUAGGUCCUUUUUCUUUUGUUUUAGCCCGUGUUCUUUUAUAAAAUCCCGCCCACUAUUCUGUUUGGUCUUUUGACGCGUUAGACCUUCUUUUUAUAUGUUUAAUUAGGUUUUAGGUCUCGAUUUCUUUAAGUUUAGCCCUUGAAAGUUUAGUUCUCUCGCAGUUAAGCCCCUGAACCUUGUUUAGCUCAUAUCUUAAGCGUUUUAAAUCCGUUUUAACAGAUUCUUGCGCCUAUAAGUUCAUGUUGACGCAUAGAUUAGUUGACUUAUACGAACCUUGCUGAUUCAGCUCCUUGAUUGUGCUUCAGAUCUCGCUAGGGAAGAAUAAUGGAUGGGCUUUGGUUGAGCUUGUAGAUCGACUUGCAGUUGCAGUGAAUGAGCAGAGGAUUGGCAGUGAAUAAGAUCAGGCCGCUGCCCUGCUUGGUAGGGAAAAUAUCUGCUUGCUACCAAGGCCUGUGACGCAUGGACCCCAUUGAGAGUGCAUUAUUGACAAGGACUUAAAGCCAAGGGCUCCACACCUGUCAUUGAUCAGCUGUCUGCUGGGCGCUGCAAGGAGGUAGUGCAUGUUUGACAUAAAGAAGCAGGUGGCCCAGGAUUUACGAAAAAUAAGGAUCUAUUUGAUACCCUUGCUUAUAUUUAGGGGCUAAAAGUUGCUUAUUUGAAGUUGCUUAUUUUUAAUCCUAGCUGUUUGAUUGCAUGGGCUAAAGAGCAUUGAAUGAGGUGGAUAUUGUCAUGUUUGCCUCUAAUGAUUGCUUCCCAUCACAUUUCUCCCCCCUCAUUCAACGAGGGAAGGAGGUGUAAAGUGCACCUUUUAGCCCCGAUAAGUAACCCUUGUGUUGUUUACGGGCUGAACAUAAGUAGCUAAAGUUUAGCUCCAAUAAACAAGAGUGUUUGGUAUUUUUGGGGUUAAAAGGGGCUAAACUUUAGCUGCUUAUGCAUAAGCAAGGCCAUCCAAAUAGGCCCUAAGUAUGUUUGGCGUUGUAAGUAGGUUUUAUUUAAUUUCCUAGGCAUUUAAAUUUCUUUCUAAAAUAAGUUAAUGAAUCAUAGGAGUUCAUUGUUGCAUUCACGCUGGUGCAUUGAUUUUGCCUACAAAACCUGCUGCCGUUUCCGCAGCUCCCAUCAAACCCUAGCACCCCCGCCACGAGCUCCAGCGCCGCUGCCGCCCGAGCUUGAGCACUAGCGCACACCCAUCGCCGUCGCCUUCCUAUCAAUGGGAUCACCGCCCGGAGCCCGUGUCAUGGUAAAGAAGCCGCCCGUGAAGAUCCCGUCCACUCUCGUGCCCUCUACCGCGUCCUCGAGUUCACCGGAGUUGCCAGUCUGCCACCCAGCCGCCUCUCCGAGCUUCAUGUUGUCGUUGCCACUCUAGCUGCCUCUCUGAAGACCUAGAUCGGUUUGCCGUGCACCCCGCUUCAUCCUGAGUUAAACCCCAUCAUGCCACGUCAUAGUAAGGAAGCUGCUCAUGAAGAUCCCGUGCGCUCCCGUGCCCUCUACCGCGUCCCCAAGUUCACUGGAGUUGCUAGUCCACCACCGAGCCGCCUCUCCGAGCUUCACUUCACAGUCGCUGCUCCAGCCACCACUCUGAAGACCUAGAUCAGUUCGCUGUGCACCCCACCUCAUCCUGAGCUAAACCCCAUGACGAACUGUGGUCGGAUGCUCAUUUUCGAGUGAAUUCCGGCGAGAUGGUCGCCCGCCGCCGCCAUCUCCAUCGCCCAUGCACCGCCUGUCCCCUUCCAGCCGAUGUCCGAUUGCAAACCGAUAGCCGAAAUCGGAUGUGGUCACCAGGAUUAAUACCAGUCAAACUAAGCCACGCGUGCCGCUUUUGCAAGAAGGCCCCUAUUUUUCCCUCUUUUUGCACUUGAGGUCCUAUGCAGUUCAAAAGUAAUUAGAUCAAGGUCCUUUUUCUUAUGUUUUAGCCCUAUUCUUUCAUAAAAUCCCGGCUGCCAUCCUGUUUGAAAUAGAUACGGUUAUAGAUAUGCAAACAUCUGCAUAUUUCCAACCGUAUCUCUUUCGAACGGGAGACGCCUAACUAGGUUACGUGACAUACGAACAUCAUACGGAUAGAGAGGGGUAGGAUGUCUCACCUUGCUAUCCUACAAAGUGACGACUCGAGGACAGUAAUGUAGCCUCUCCUUCAAAAAAAGAACAUACUACUAUCAAGUUAAAUUUUUGACAGCACCUCCCCUGCACGUGGAGGUUUCCAUAACCUGCAUCAAAUAAAACGGCACGAUGGCUGACAACCACAUCUACAGCACCAGAAUGGCACGAUGGCCGACUUCCACAUAAAGUUCUUAUACCUUAGAUUGCCAAGUCAAACAUCCUUUUCUAAUUUCUAAAACAAAAGCCCUCCCACCUCUCUAUCUUAUACUUUCCUAUUUACUAAUUGCUUUUGUAAUUUCUAAUUUCUAUUUCAUCCUACCACCUCUGUACCCUUUUCUCAUUUCUAAUUCCAAUUUUCUAACUUGAAGAGCAAAGAUUGAUUACUAGGAGGGGUGAGGGACGCCGGCCUAGAGAGGCGAGGGGACGUCCGGCGGCGGCGGGUGCGUCGGGGGUAGGAUGCCAGGGGCGGCUGCAGGGGCGCCGGGUUGGGGGCGGCCGGGAUCGAGGGCACCAGUAGCGGGGGCACCGGGCCGGGGGCGGCCGGCGGGGCGGGACGCCAGGGCCGGGGCGACGGGCGCCGGUGGCGAGGCCGCCCGGCCGGUGGUGGCCGGCGUGGCGCCUGGGCCGGGGGGGGGGGGCGGGCGGGGUGCGGCGCGGCGCGCCGGGGCAGGGCGCCGAGGCUGGGUGGUGGGGUACGGGGCGGCGGGCGGGGGGUGGGGGGAGGGUCGGCGGCGGGGCGCGGGGGCGGCCAGCGGCGACGGCGGAGGGCGUCGGUGGUGUUUCGGAAGUGAUACGGAGGGGGUAGAGAGAUUCGUUUUCGCGGCUGAGUGUUCGAGUCAGAAGGCCGUGCGGCUUAAGUCAGGUGGUUUGCCGAGUGCGCGCGAUCUGGCACUCGGCAAAGUCAGAAGUUUUGCCGAGUGUCAGAUCGCGGGCACUCGGCAACUGCAGCUUUUGUCGAGUGCCCUGGAUUCGGCACUCGGCAAAGUGAAGUUUUAAUUUUUUUUAAAAAAAUUUAAUCGGAACACGGGCGUGCCAGCGGGCCCGUGACAUACUUUGCCGAGUGUGUAGCAAAAACACUCGGCAAAAUAUUAUCUUUACCGAGUGUUUUCGCUAGGCACUCGGCAAAGUACACUUAUAUUUCAUGUACACUUUUUCAAUAACGUGUUUUACUAACCUUUUUCUGAUAUACUUGGGAAAAACCUUAUCAAAUUCACUCAACAAUGGAUAUAUGGUUUUUCUACUGACAUUAUUCCAUUAUUUCAUUCAGUUAUAGCUCAAAUUGAAUUUAUAUCUAUUAAAAAUCAAUAAUUGCAUUUAAUAAAUAAAAAAUACCAAACGGAUCUGAAAAAUUUCCAAAAUUUGACAUGAACCAAUCUAUGUUGUAUGUUGCCUGUACAAAAAGCUUUGAAGUCAAACCCCAAUUCAAGUGUCACUUGGACUCCAAAUCUUAUCGGAUCCUUUCUAACUUCUAUGAAUCCUUUCGGGAGAUGAGUCGGUUUGUAAGCAUCAUAUGUCAUAAAUUGGGCGAAACCUUCUCAAUUUUUUACCACAGCCUCCACAUAUAAUAUCAUGACACCUUGACAAAUCUUGUGAUUUUCAGACUUCGUUUGCUUUUUUUAGAAUUUAACAACCAUUCAACCACAUGUUCGUGAUCGUGUUUUCUAAAAAAAUGUUCAAAAUUUCUUUUCAUUUCCUGGUUGAGACCUCAAUCCGGAUUGAAUAAUAUGAAUAUGAUUUUUUCACUGAUUUUAAUCCAUUAUUUAAAUCACUUGCAGUUAAAUUUGACUUAAAUAAACAAAUUCCUAUUAAUGCUAUCAAUUCAUUAAAAAUAGCAAACAGAGAAAAAAUAGACCAACUUUUAAGAUGGAUUACCAAAUGUCAUAUGUGGGGAGUAGAAAAAGUGUGGAGAGCAGAGGUGGAAAAAAAAGUUUUGCCUUUGCCAAGUGCCUACACAAACACUCAACAAACUUUGCGGAGUGCCUAUUGAAAACACUCAGCGAACUUCUGAGUUUGCCGAGUGUCUGGAGGGAGCACUCGGCAACCUACUUAUUUGCCGAGUGUCCGCGUCGGACACUCAGCAAAGUACUAACGGCUGGCACACUCCCCUAACGGACGGCGCACGUGCAAGCCAUGUGCUGGAGAUUUAUCGAGUGUCAAAUCGUUGCCGAGUGUCGUGUGGAUGUUUGCCGAGUGUCUUAUUUGUGACACUCGGCAAAGCUAUUGUUUGCCGAGUGUAUUAUUUAUGCCGAGUGUCUUCCAGUAUACACUCGGCAAAUGAUGUCUUUGCCGAGUGCUCGACAUAAAGCACUCGGCAAAAAUUUUACACUCGGCAACAUUCCUGUUUCCGGUAGUGAGUGACCCGGGACUAAAGACCCCCGUUGUCUCUGAUUGCUUUAUUCCGGAUGGAUUUUCAGGAGAUUUGCUCCCUACCAAUAGGGACUAAAGGCAAGUUUUCCACUUAUAGCAAACCAGUUAGCCCAUUGUUGAUGGAACGCAUCACUAGAAACAGCUCGGGAUCCACUUGUCCAAUAAUCGAGAGGGCCUAUAUAUGGACCACGUGUGCGGAUCCCUAAUUAGGAAAAAAGAAUAAUGGAGUAGGACAUCUCCAUGCUCACCUAGUAGCCGCUGCUAGCUUGUGCGUGUGGAACACGAGUGCCGGCCCAGUUGGCGCUAAGACAUCGUACGUGCAUUAAGGCUACGAUCUCUUUCUUCUAACUCAUGCUUGUGCUAUUAUACAUUAUUGCAUGAUCAUCAAGAUAAGAUCGUAUAGUGACUGAGUGAGACAUGUAUGUACUAACAUGCAUUUAAGCCUCGAACUGUGUGUUGUUACGUGAGCUGCCUCCUCACCUCGCCUCUGAAUUAUUGAACCGUUUCCAACAGUGUUGGUCUCAAAUAAAUUUGACACCAAACAGAUUUAUGAAGAAGAGAGAAUAAUACUUGGAAUUGGAAAAAGUUUAUCUCUCUUUACAAUGGAGUAGGGCUCCCUUUUAUAGUGACCCAUAAGCCACUUUACAUUUGGAAAAUGUCCUUCCUCAACCACUACAUUAAUUCCUAGGAUAUGCUGUACAUAAAGGUCAUUUGAGGUAACGUGUACAAAUGAACUCUUCCACAUGGUCACGUUUCUCAUGCCUCCUGUUUUCCAACCUCGAGACAUCAUCUUCACGCCAAGUUGAUCAUCUAGCCUCGAGGCUCCAUCCACGAUCCAGAAUGAACGUCCAGGCUUGAGGCUCCUUCUUCGUUAAGCUUUGUUGAGAACUCAUAACCUCACAUAGUUCUCCUCCGAGUAUUGUUCCCGACUCAGAACACUCGAGGUUUAGCUCAGUUGGAGUUUAGCUAUUACUGUUGCUAGUCACCAGCCUCGAGCCCCUCCAGAAGCAAGGUGAUGCGAGGGUACGAGUUUUACUAUUAAAGGUGUUUCCAUAGAAUGUGCGAGGUUAAAGCACUUGCAGCAAAAGCGUGGAGCUGCUUUCAACCAGAGUGCAAUAAUGCAGCCGUGCCCAUCUUGGUCUUGGUCUCCGCCUGAACUAUAGCAGAUGCUGGCAGCGGUAGCAGGGUGGUCCAUUAUAUCUAUGGAUGGCAAUGGUCGGAUUCGGAUGGAAUCGAAUUCGAAUAGCACUUUUUACCACAUACUAAUUCAAAUCCGAAUUCGGAUUCGGAUGUUCUCGAAUGCGAAUGCAAAAUGGAUGGUUCGAAUUCGAAUACUUAGCGGAUUUUUGCAUAAUAUUAAUCGAAUAGAAUUCAUUAAAUUUAGCCAAGAAAUUAAAUUUUCUGAAAUUAAAUACUUUCCCUUCGCCCCAGCGGCGGCCUAACUCCCAGGACGGUGGCGUGCGGGGCCCGAGCAUCCCUGGCCUCUAGUGGCGUGGCGGGGCGGCAUCCAGCAGCAGCGGCGGGGCUCGGCCUCCGGUGGCGCGCGGCCAGCCCGACCUACCCGGUCAGAGGUGGCGCAGCGGUGCGCGGGCCUCCCCGACCAGAGCCGGUGGGGAGCGGUGCGCGGGGAGGACCUCCCCAGCCGGAGGUAGCAGGGCGCGACCUCCCCGGCCGGAGGUGGCUCCCUGUGGGGGCGCGGCCGUGACAGCUAGCGAGGCAAUAAUUGCUUCCGUACGCAGCAAUAAUUGCUUGUGCGACACCGUGUUAUUACUCUGGUACAGUACUCCCUCCGUUGCAGUACACUGGUCCAGGCGUCAGGACACUGCUCCUGCCCUCGUGGUUCACGUGCAUCAGGCCAGCAGACAAGCUAUGAUGUUGCCAACAGUGUUUGUUUGAACAUGGAGAUGUCAUUGUGAUUGUCAGGGACCCGACACCAUGCAUGCCGAUUUCAUAUUCUUAAUAUUUAUUUUUUUAAUGGUUGUUGAAACUAUAUAGUUACUCCAAUAUCACGUUUCCGAUUAUAAAAAUUAACAUAAAGAGAUCGGAAGGGAGAGCCCGCAUAAUGAAGCCGACGCGUAUAAUAAGCACUAGAGCCGGCAUUUAUACAAACGGGUACGCAUAGUAAAAACUAGAAUUUAUAAAUAAAUGAAGAUAUUCAAAUAUCUGGCUUACUUUUUUCAUUAAUUUUGCAUGAAUAAGGGAUGAUUCAUUAAUCAUUAUUGAACAAAUUGGCACACAUGCUUCGUGCCCGCGUUGUGAGCAUUAUGCGAUGCCACUGAGCUGCACCACCACGGUAGAGGGCCUGUUUGCGAUGCCACCGAGCUGCACCACCACGGCAGAGGGUCUGUUUGGGAAGGGGAAGUUAAAGUUUAACACCCCCCAUUUAACACCUUUUUAACAAAAUGGCUGCUAAACACUUGUGUUAAAAGAGUAGUGUUAAAAUUUAACACCUCUCUUUUCAUAAACACAUGGAGGGGGUGUUAAAAUUUGCUAAAUGUGUUAAAAGUGGUCCCCUCCCCACUUAUUCCUUGGUUGCCCCCCUCUCUCUCCUCCUCUCUCUCCUACCCGCCGCAUUUAAGAGCAUUAUUGAGGGGUAAUGCAGUCCUUUUCCAACAAAAGUGUUAAACUUUAACAACCCUUCCCAAACAUGCCACAAGCAACACCACCGGCUGACUGUGCUAGCGGGGAGCACCCUCACCGCCUGCCCGUGGGGACUUCUUCUGCCGGCCAUCGUGUCUUUGUAGGACCGCCGCGUGAGCCUAUGAGCCACCGGUGGCCGUGCGCCCAAGGGCCAUCACCAUGCCACCUGAGGAUGCUGUCUACCCGGUGCCGCGUGCCUCUGCUAGCUGCUUGCACCUGGGCCGCCGCUGGUCGCCUGCACAGCCACGCGUUACAGCCGCCCCCCUGCGCUGGGCCACCCCAUUUCGUGUUGGAAGAACUGCCACAGUCUCGCGCACUGGGGUUUUGCUAGUGACGACCAUAGCCUCCAAGAUCAAAUGAAAAAGUUGGUACUCAAAACAUACAUCCAUUAAUCUAGUCGUGCUAAUCCUUACCACCAAAUAAAAACUAGCAUGUGUUGUGUUUUUGUGACCCUAAACGAUCACAAAUGAAUAACUUAUGGGCGUUGCUAGCCUAUAAGUUAUGGGCGUUUGUGACCCUAGUCGCGCCGGGGUCUUGCUGGUGACAACCAUGGUCUUCGCGAUAAAGUAUUAAGUCUCAUCGAGUUCUACAAUUUUGAUAUAAAAUUUCUAUUCAUCCGAGAUCAAAUGAAAAACAAAUGAAAAAAUCCGAAGUAUUAGGCUUCAUCGAGCUCUACAAUUUUGAUAUAAAAUUUCUAUUCAUCCGAGAUCAAAUGAAAAAAUCCGAGAUCAAAUGAAAAGUUGGAACUCAAAACAUACAUCCAUUAAUCUUGAUAUAAAAUUUCUAUUCAUCCGACAUCAAAUGAAAAAGUUGGUACUCAAAAUAUACAUCCUUUAAUCUAGUCGUGCUAAUCCUUACCACCAAAUAAAAAAACUAGCAUGUGUUGUGUGUUUCUGACCGUAAACGAUCACAAAUGAAUAACUUAUGGGUGUUGCUAGCGUCCCGGACGCUAGCAUCGGACGCAUGAGCAGCCGUCCGAUCGGGUCCGACACCACUUCACGAUCUGUCUUAAAAAAAAGUCCCACCGAAACAUUGUUCCAUGUUGCAUGAAAUACCCCACUAUCCAUCGCCAGGUCUACAGCAAGCACCACCUUCCAAUCUGCUGCUCACCCAAGCUAAAUAGGGGCAUUAAAAUUGCAGAAAUAUGUCACAUAUCCUUGUCAAAUUAAACUAAAUCGCAACAUCCGAAAAUUUCUUACACAAAACCAUGAAACAUAUCGAUUAGAUAGGUGUAACAAGAUGGAAUAUGGUAUCCAACAUAUAGAUUCCGAAAAACAGAUGAAACAUUAUGUAACGAUUGUUGAAACAGUCGAGAAAUAUAGAUGUAACGAUUAAAAUUUAGAAAAGAAGCUUUAUGCAAAUUGCAAAAAGCUGAAAUAAGUGGUUGAAACAUUUCGAAUCACCAAAUGCCACAUUUGAAAUGGCUACAUGAAACAUCACGAAAUCAAUUGCAACAGUUGAAGAUGAAAACAUUCAAAUGCCUUGCCUUUCUCCAGAUUUGACCCUCCAAGCAUGAGUCCAGCCAUUUGCACAUUAGACCCUUGGGAGGAGCUCACCGGAGAACAACAAGACCGUGUUCUCCAACAAUUUUCUGAUCAAAUUGCAACAGACAAAACAAAGCAUUGCAACAUCUGGCAUCACGAGCUACAACAUCAACAAGUUAGGAUCAGGAGAAAGAGGGAAAACACAAGCCUAACAACCCCAAGACAAAACUGAUGUACUCAUCAUACAUCACGGCUUGCCGUGCACAGAGAUGAAGGCCGCCAAGCUCAAUCGAGACAGAGACGACGUGAUAGUGCUCCAGAUCGACGGUCCCCAUCAAUUGUUGCGUACACUGCCAAAAGCAAUGGAAGAAGAAGGGUCGUCCCUGCUCGACCUCCGUAGAUGAGCGCAGAUUGGGGGAAACCGUAUAGAGUGCCGCUGACAGCACAGGCGAGGGGGCUCAGGCUUGAUUCAGGGUGAGGGUAGCGGGUAGCAUGAGGAGACAGUCAGGUUUCAUAGGAGAGAGGCGGAGUAGAGAGCUCUGGUGACUCGGUGAGGAGGGUGCGGCACGGAGAAAGGUGUGUAGCUGAAGGAGCUACAUGGUUGGGGCGAGGCGAGCGUAGAGACUAGAGAGGGAAAAAAAGCAUGGGGAGGAGACGAUAUGUGGUUGAUGGUGCGGGCACGUGGUGAGCGCACCGUAUGAAAAUUUUGCUCGCGUCGGAUGACUGAUGUGAAGCAUUACCCAAUCUUAAUUAUCUCCCAUAAUCCAAAACUCACAAAAACAUCAAAAAUCCGCCGAGAAUAAAUUAAGUAAACCAUGCACACACAGAUAAUAAAAUUGCUAAUAAGGCCAGAGAUAAUACAUGAACAUAUUAGACUGUUCAUGACACAUAUCACGGUGGAUAGUGUCUGUGUCCUUAUUACAAGCAAUGAGAGAUGCUUGUCACCACACACACGCGCACAGAUGCAUGACAUACAUAUAGUUGAGACCAACAGAUGGAUCAACUAGAGGUCACCCCAUAUGGUGAACAAUUUAUUGGAGAUAAACAUUAACAUAACUUGGCCAUAGCUUGAAGCAUAGCAACAUAUGCCUAUGAAUGGCGUUCAUGCUAUCGUUUUAGGCUUGUCCAGCUUCUUUCAUCUUAGCAAGCACUUCCAUUUCUACCAUCUUAGCAGCAACUGUCAAAUUGAGAUAUGGAAAUCCCAUUAGCGCAUGAUUAAUUUUGCAGUGGAAAUAGAGUGCAAGAUAUCUUCAUGAUGUAAAUAACAUGCCUGAAGUUGUGAGAUGGGAAGUGAAGUCAACAAAUUACAUUAACGGAAAUGCAUGGAAGGCCACACAUACGUAUUAGUCCAUAAUACGCUACAAAGCUUGUAUGUACAUAUAGCAAAUUAAAUGCAUUAAUUGAAUAGAGUGAGUUUAGUGAAUUUACCAGAAUCGUCCAGAAAACAUGGGAAACAGCAAGUGUGCUUGCAGACUGUGUCGGAGCCACCCACACGAAUACAAAGCUGACAACAUGCUUGUGCCUCGUGGGAUACGCAGCAGCCGCACUGUGCCGCGGUGGCCGAGUUAACAUUGAGGCUCAAGAUGAACAGGCACAUGAUCACCAUCAAAGUGGUAGUCCUCUUUCCCUCCAUUGCCUCCUGUCGCUGCUACCUUCCUUGGUUACUAGUAAGUUUAUUGGUUUUGUGUUGAGAGGUGAUUCUUGCAUUGAAUGGACGUUGCCGCGGCUGCAAUUUAUAGGCAGCUGCGCUAUGUGAUGAUAUGGACAAGGUGCAAAUGGGUGGUCCUGAUAU